UUCGCCAGUUUCCAAUCGAAGCGGUAGAGCAAUUCAGCAAGAGCAAGUUCAACCAUGGUAACACCAAAUAACAUGCCUGGACACAUUCUUCUGCCGGCCCCAAACGGGGUGAACUCAAAGUCAAAACCCUUAAAGUCAACAGAAGAACAUUGAAACCUCUCCGGCUUAAAACACUCAGCAUCUGCCCCCCAUAUCUCUGGGUCUCUUCCCAUUGCCCAUAGAUUAAUAAUUACUUUUGAUUUAACUGGUAAUUCGAACCCGCCAAUUUGAACCGUGUCCCUUGCUUCUCUUGGGAGCAAAGGGGCUGGAGAGUGUAACCUCAGAGUUUCUUUCACCACCGAUUUCAAGUAGUCCAUUUUUUGAACAUCUCUUUCUUCAAUAACUUUUCUUUUUUUCCCUUCAAAUUGGAGGACUGACCGUCUCACUUCAGCUUGAGCCCUCUUCAUGAUUCUUGGGUUUCUCAUCAACUCUGACAUUGCCCAUUCUAAGGUAGUAGCUGAAGUCUCGCUUCCUGCAGAGAACAUGUCUUGCACAUAAAAAAAAAAAAAUUCACUUAGUUAGACAGUAAGAACGACAUUGAUGUGUGGGACAAAAUGUGCAGCAUGAUAAUAAUUGAUUUUCAAUUUGCGGAACCAAAAUCAUGAGUUUUGAAAACAUGAGCAACCAUUUGUGACAGAACCCCUUCAUAUAAUUUUAUAAAAUGAUGAGUGACGACGAAGAAAAAAAUGUCUGCAGUACAAGGCAAGCCUACAUUACUCACCAUAAUCAUAUCUUUGAUAUGAUUGGUUGUGAAAUUGAACUCCACCUUGUUGGACUCUUUAAGUUUUAGAAGUACGUCAACAAAAUUUUCCUCCUCCUCCACUGCUUUGUCAUUGCUUUUGAUUUUAUGAUCGUUGAUGAUACGUUCGAGAAUCGUAUUGAGCUUGCUUUUUAUGUCUUUGAGAGCAGGGAUCGACCCAGUAAUGAAAACAAGAAAACUGAGUGAAGGAAACAAAUCAGGAAUAUCAAAUCCACUACCAAGUUUGAGUAUUUCGUCUAGUAGCGAAAGGAACUCCUUUUGGUCUUUGCAUUUUUUCCCAAAUGCUGCCUUCGACACUACGCCACUUGUGAAGCUGCAGCACCUGUCCCUAAAAUUGAUGGCAAGCCCCUCGUGAGACAUUGAGCCAGUGGACUCAAUAAGAUUCCGUACCUCUUCUUCUCUUACGGAUCUGAAAGACUGCACACGUGUCGCGCUCAGUAGCUCGAAAACACAAAUCUUUCUCAGCGAUCUCCAUCAAUAUUUUACCUAAUGGUAUAAGUAUAAAGUCGUUGUCCACUUAUGUUAUAACACACAAAUUAAUAUAUAGCUUGCAUAUAUUCAAGUGUCAAUCAAUAAUUGAUCAAUUUUAAUGUGAUCAAAUUGAUUGGUAUUAAAAUUAGGCCUUUGGUUAAUAUAUUUGUGAAUAUGUUCAAAAAAAAAAUUGUGAAUAAUAAUGUAUAAAAUGAGCUUAUCUAAUAUAAUUUUUCCCUAAAAAAUUGUCAGCAUAUUUAUAGAUUAUUUGCCCCUUCCACUAACAGUAACACUCUAAACUUAUUUUCAAGAACCUCUUUUCACACUAAUACAGUAUGGUGCAUGGCAUCUUUCAUGUUAAUAAAAUCAAGCGUAGUAGCGUUCUACGAUUCAAAUAGUCAACCUUACUUAGUGAGAUAAGGCUUUGUUAUUGUUAUUUCAUGUUGAUUAAGUAGUGGUCUAAAUUUUGAACUAAUUGUCACAUGUCGUCUUUGUUGAGCAAAAAAAAUUGUACAUAAUAUGUAAACAAAUAAUUCACUCGACACAAUUUCACCCUCGUUCAUUUCUUGAAGAGGGUUUUAUUAAUUCAAGUUCAACCCAUUCUAGGCUACACGCCUAUUAAUUACAACCCUUCCUUUGGGAAAGGAACACCCUUUGAUUCUAAUAUGAAUAAAUCGUAUCUUGGGGAUUUGGAGUGUUUAUUUGAUUUUGUGACUGUAUCUAGGUAGAACCCUAGAUUGCCUACGUACCCUCGUUGAGGGAUCAAGUCACUCGUAGUUCCUUGUAUGCUUGAUACUUGUUUGGAUUUGAUGCCUUAUGCAGUUUUAGCUCAUGCAGGCGAGGACUUUAAGCCAUUGGAGCAUUAAUGCCUUGUGCAGUUUUAGCUCAUGCGGGCGAGGAGCAUUAAUGCCUUGUGCAGUUUUAGCUUAUGCGGGCGAGGAGCAUAUGUGGCUUCGUGCCAUUUAAGUCUUGUCACGGCUUCGUGCCCUUUUGAUACGGCUUCAUGCCAUUGAGAUUUGUUGCGGCUUCAUGCCCUUUGAUACUUGAUACGGCUUCGUGCCUUUUGAUACUUGAUACGGCUUCGUGCCUUUGAGAUUUGUUGAGGCUUUGUGCCCUUUGAAAAUUUUUCUUCGACUUCGUGCCAUUUUGGUAUUUGAUAGCAGGAGUGAAUUUAGUUUAUAUAAACCAGGGAUUCGUUUCAGCUUCACGGUUGCGUCUAAAAUUUUGAUAUCAGACUGCCUACGUAUCCUUAACGGAAUCAAACCGGCGUAGUUCAUUAAUGCUUGAUUUGGAUUUGCAUUCUUUUGUUUAGACUUGGCAAAAUGAGAAGUUGAUUGGGUAUUGAGACUUGGCAAAAUGAGAAGUCAAUUGGACUUGUUUGAAACCCAUACAUGACCUUUGGUAAUAUCCAAUAGAUCUUUGUGAAAUGGGACUUCACUUUUUUCUUCAAGUAGCAACCCACAUGGGAUGCGCAGUACAAAGUAAAUAGGACUUUGUCCUUUCCUUGAGUAGAAGGUAGGAUUCACGCCAUAUGGACUGAAAAGGCAUUUAAACAGCCUUUUAUUUUUGGUUGGUUGAAGGGCUUCCCUCGUGUUAUAAAUCCUUAGUGAAUUAGGAUUCAUCUUUGCAUGGCUUUUCCACACGGUUCGGAAAAGGUUUGAUCCAUAUAACUUCUUGUGAUGCAUGUUCUUUGAGGGUUCCACGUAAGUACCGUCCCUAAUUAAUUUGUGAAGUUUGUUUACAGCAAACUUCUUGUUUCUUCUUUUUUUUUUUUUUUUGGCUUUUCCACCCCAUUUAAAUAUGGGACUUUGAACCCAUUUGAUUCAAAACCUUCUGACAGCAAGCUUUUCUCUUCAUUGUUUUUUUUUUAUAUGAUUUUAAAGCUUCCAAGUUCCAAUAAGACUUGAAAGUUCGAAAUCCUCUCUCCCUCUUCAUGUGAGGUGCAGCCUUUAUUCACCCCUUCUUUUUUUGUUUGGUGUUGCUUUCAUCCAAGUGAUGCUUCCUUCCAUCCUUUUUUUAUUUCUCGGACAAAAGACAUAAAGACAACAACUGACAACUUUCAGAGGUCUUUGUCCUAUUUUUUUUUUUUUGCAGAGCCAAUGGUUAUUUGAAGUAUGCUAUUGUUGGGGCUUUUGUAAUUGUAAGAAGACACCUUUUUCUUUUUGACUUAGUAAUCUCUCCUUCUUGUGACUAACGAUGAUGGGUAGUACGGAGAUGCAAUUUUGGGCCAACAUCGACGGAGCCUUUGAGGAGUGUAGAUUUGUUAGUGUUUUGGAAGGUUUAUAUUUUGUAGAAAUGUUCUUGACAGGGUUUUUGGUUAUGGAAAAACACAGAAAUGUAAGGAGGGAUUUCGGCUAUUGCAGUCUGCUCUCUUAGCAACUCAUAGCAAACAUAUAUAUAUGCUAUCAGUAGGGUUUUGGUAUACAAGGUCAGAUCUUAUCUCCAUUGGAGCUAGUUGACAAAAACCACAACUACCAUAUAGUACUAAGCUAAUCUAAGCCCUUCACUGGAGCUUUUAAUCUAAGCCCUACACUUGUAAAAAAGCAUUACUUAAAAACAACUAGCCGUUACAAAACUAGCCGUUAGCAUGUUGCUGCUUCAUUUCUUCGAUCAAACUGGAAGUGUUUAGCAUCCAACACUCCCCUCUAAACUCUUCCUGGUGUUGACUCCAAGCAGGCUUCGAAGGUAUGUGAACCUCUCUUUUGGUAAUGCCUUUGUAAAAAUGUCUGCCAUCUAAUCUUCAGUUCUGCAAUACAUUAAUUCAAUGACAUUUUCUUGUAGUGCAUCUCUGAUAAAGUGAUACUUCCUCUUUAUGUGCCUUGUUUUCUGAUGAAAAACUGGAUUUCUUGUCAUUGCUAUAGCUGAGGUAUUAUCACACAUUAGCUUAGUUGGUUCAACUUGCAUUUCUCCAAAAUCUUUUAGAACAAAUCUCAGCCAGAUUGCUUGAGAUGUUGCUUCUGCAGCACUCACAUACUCAGCUUCGGCGGUUGAUAGUGCAACACUUUGUUGCUUGACCGAGGCCCACGAGAACACACCAGAGCCAAAUGUAAAAGCAUAUCCCGAUGUGCUUUUCAUAUCAUCUUCACUACCUCCCCAGUCACUAUCACAGAAACCAACCAGAAUAGCUGAUUGUCCUUUUUCAUAUUUGAUUCCAAAAUCAAUUGUUCCUUGCACAUACCUGAGUACUCUUUUUGCAGUUCCCAAGUGUAUUUUGGUAGGACUAUGCAUGAAUCUUGAGAGCAGGCUUGCAGCAUACAUAAUGUCUGGCCUUGUUGCUGUGAGGUAUAACAGGCUGCCAACAAUUUUCCUGUAGAGAUUUGCAUCCACUAACUCACUUCCAUCCUCACUCUUGAGCUUCUCAUUUGCAAUUAAGGGAGUGCUUACUGGUUUGCAUCCCUUGAGUCCAAAUUUGUUCAACAAUGUAUGUGCAUAUUUCAUUUGAUGAAUGAAAAUGCAAUCUGAUUUUUGAAUCACCCCCAUUCCAAGAAAGUGGUGAAGUAACCCCAAAUCUGUCAUCUCAUAUCUUCUCAUCAUUUCAUUUCUAAAUUCAUCCACCAUUUUCUUACUGUUUCCAGUAAAAAACACAUCAUCCACAUAGAUGGACACAAUGAGAGUUUCUGACUUGUUCUCAACCUUGGUAUAGAGUGUUGCUUCAUUGAGGCUUUUCUUGAAUCCACACUUAGUGAAAUGUGCAUCAAUCUCACUGUACCAGGCUCUUGGUGCUUGCUUCAGGCCAUAGAGUGCCUUCUUUAAUCUAUACACUUUGCUUUCGGACCCUUUGACUUCAAAACCUUGUGGCUAGUCCACAUAGACCUCUUCCUCUAGUACACCAUUCAAGAAAGCAGACUUGACAUCUAACUGAUAUAGUUGCCAACCCUUCUGUGCAGCUAAUGCAAUUAGUGUCCUGAUUGUAUCUAGUCUAGCCACAGGUGCAAAUGUUUCAUUAAAGUCAAUUCCAGGCUUUUGAGAGUAGCCUUUAGCCACUAAUCUAGCCUUGUUCCUCUGUACUGAUCCAUCCAAGUUCAACUUGGUUUUUAUAGACCCACUUCACACCUAUCACAGGUUUAUCACUUGGUCUGUCCACCAGAGUCCAAGUUUCAUUUUUCUCUAUCAUUGAGAUUUCAUCUCUCAUUGCUAUCUGCCAUGACUUGUCAUUUUCAGCCUCUUCCAAAGGUCUCUGGUUCAAUAACACAGAAAUUGCAUGCUGCAUAGAUUUCUUCUAGGCUUCUCAUUUUAAUUGGUGUUGAUCCUGAGCUUGAGUUUGAACUCGAGCUUUGUUGCCCUCUCUGUUGAGAUGUUGAACUUGCACUUGAGUUUUGUGUACUCUGAGGGGUUUGAACUGGUGAGGUAUAAGGUAUCUGCAAGCUUUCUUCUUCAGGUUCAUACAUCUCACCAAUUUCAGUUUGUGCAGUUCUUUGCUCAGGAACAUCAACUUGCAGUGAUACUUUGUCUUGUUCUACUGCAUUUGUCUCCUAAUUCCACAAUGAUUCUUCAUCAAAAAUUACAUCUCUUGAGAGAUUGAUCUUCUUGGUUCUUAGAUUAUACAAUCUAUAACCUUUUUCAUUUGUGCCAUACCCAACAAAAAUGCACUUAUUGCUUGGUUCUUGUAACUUGUGUCUGAGUUGUGAUGGCACCAGUGCAUAACACACAGAGCCAAAAACCUUUAAGUGCUUGACUCCAGGCUUUCUUCCACUGAACACUUCGAAUGGAGUUUGCUUCUCCAAAGCUUUGGUAGGACAUCUGUUCAAGAGAUACACAGCAGUAUUCACAGCUUCUCCCCAAAAUGAAUAGGGUAUUUUCUUCUCAUGUAGCAUGGAUUUUGCCAUCUCCACUAUAGUCCUGUUCUUUCUCUCUGCAGUUCCAUUUUGUUGAGGAGUGUAAGCUACUGUGAGUUGCCUUUCUAGACCCAAAUCUUCACAGAAAGCUUUGAAUUCCAGUGAGGUAUACUCACCUCCCCUAUCACUCCUUAUCUUCUUGAUUUGAUGCCCACUUUGUAACUCCACCAUUGCUUUAAACUUCCUGAAUAUAUUGAAGACUUCUGAUUUGAACCUCAUAAAAUAUACCCAACACAUUCUUGAGUAGUCAUCUAUGAAAGUCAAGAAGUACUUGUUCCCACUGAUGGAUGCAUUUUUUCAUUGGACCACACACAUCAGUGUGAAUUAAUUCUAGAGGUUUCUCAGCCCUCCAAGCCUUUCCAGUUUCAAACUUGUCCCUGUGUUGUUUCCCAAAUGCAACAGCCUUCACAAACCUCCUUCAUUUCAUCCAUUUGAGGCAAACCUUGCACCAUUUCAUGUUUUUGCAGAUUUUUUAGACUUUGCACAUUCAAGUGCCCAAACCUUUUGUGCCAUAGUCUCUCUGACUCAAUUUUGCCUGCCUUCCUUGCCACUUCUUCCAAGCAUUUCAGCAACAAUGGAAAGCUUAUGUUUUUUCAUUUGAACUUUCACAACCAGAUUCAAUAGAGUUCUAUCAUCAUAUACUUCAGCAAUGGUAUCUCCAAACAACAAGAAAUAGCCAUGUUCCAUCAUCUGUGUCUAACACUUAAAAGGUUUUCCUCCAGACCAGGUACCAACAUGACUUCUUCAAUGUGUCUUCUUCCCUUCUUGGUUUCUAUGAUAAGAGUACCUCUGCCAGUUACUUUCACAAUAUCACCAUUUCCCAUCUUAACAUUUCCAGUGAAUGUAGUAUCAAUAUUAGUUAAUAGAGACUCAUGAGCAGUCAUAUGAUUACUGCACCCACUGUCUAUAUACCACACUUCACUGUCUUUUUACAACAUUGGCACUAAAAGCACAAAAGACAUUGUUUCCUUCUUGUUCUUGUUUUGCAAUGUUCACUUGCUGAAGUGGUGUUUAAUCUGCAAUCCUUCUGCAAAUGGCCAAAUCUAUUGCAUUUGUGACAUUUUGGCUUUCUUUUAAACCAACAUUCACCAAAAUGGGCUUUAUCACAGUAUCUGCACAAUGGUUUGGUUUUUCCACCCCCAUUGUUGCUUCCACUGUUGUAUUUGUUCUCUCCACUUGGUCUUCCUUCCCACUUCUUAUUUUUCCCUUUCCAAUCUCUCCUUGGUCUGUUUUGAUGCUGAUUAGAGUGAUUUGAUGACCCUAUGUUUAGUGACUGGAAGGCUUUCUCAGUUGCACCAUCAGAAUGCCUUUCGAGCCUUUGAUCAAAAGCUCUCAAGGAAGCCAUUACAUCUUGAACACUGAGUGUAUCAGUAUCCUUAGUUUCUUCUAUCACACUCACAAUAGAAUCAUAAGGCUUAGUCAAACUAAUUAGAAGUUUUUGCACUAUUCUUUCAUUAGGCAGUUCUUCUCCGUAAGUUUUCAUUUGAGUCACAACAUCAAACAGCCUAGAAACAUAGUCUUUAAAUGGCUCAUCUUCUCUCAUGCGUGUAUACUCAAAAUCACGUCUAAGAGACUGGAGUUUUACCUUCCGUACCUUCACAUCUCCUCUGUAUUCUUGUUGCAGGGUAUCCCAGGCAGCUUUGGCAGUUUCUUCAUUUGCUAUCCUUGGGAAUAUGACAUCGCAGAUAGCACCUUGAAUGAUUCCCAACGCUUUAGCAUCAUUCAUCCUGUUCUCCUUCAAUGUAGCUUAUCUGCUUCUCUGCGAGAUCCUCUUCUAGAGAAUCUACCUCCAAUUUCUGGUAACUCAUAUCCAUCUUGAACCAUUUCCCAGAGAUCAUACGACUUGAAGAUAGUUGUCAUCCGGAUCCUCCAAUAGUCGUAGUUUUCUCCAUCAAAGACUGGAGCUUUAAGUUCUCCUCCACCAGCUCCUUUCAUUUUUAACUUAUAUUGACAGUUAGGGUUUCAGCUUUUACCUGAACAACCCUCGAAAUAGGUUCCACAAUGACCAGAUUUCAGUGAUCAAGAACAAAGCUCUGAGGCCAUGUUAGUGUUUUGGAAGGUUUAUAUUUUGUAGAAAUGUUCUUGACAGGGUUUUUUGGUUAUGGAAAAACACAGAAAUGUAAGGAGGGAUUUUCGGCUAUUGCAGUCUGCUCUCUUUAGCAGCUCAUAGCAAACAUAUAUAUAUGCUGUCAGUAGGGUUUUGGUAUACAAGGUCAGAUCUUAUCUCCAUUGGAAGCUAGUUGACAAAAACCACAACUACCAUAUAGUACUAAGCUAAUCUAAGCCCUUCACUUGGAGCUUUUAAUCUAAGCCCUACACUUGUAAAAAAACAUUACUUAAAAACAACUAGCCGUUACAAAACUAGCCGUUAGCAUGUUGCUGCUUCAUUUCUUCGAUCAAACUGGAAGUGUUUAGCAUCCAACAAGAUUGAUCUUCGAAGUUGUGGUGAACGGAGAGGUUAUUGGAGACAAAUAUCAACUGCGGCGGAAAGAGUUUGCCCUUGUGGUUGUUGUUGAAGGAAAGCUUCAGCUUGGCGAGGCUGUCGAGCAGCUUGCAAGAGACCUUGUGGAAGAAGAUGGAGGAGUCGCUGUCGAACUCGGAAGUGGGUUGAACCGAAGGCCUCUUUGGGGAAGCUGAAUACGAGGGGAGUCCUCAAAGAUGUAGUUGGCAGAGACGGCGGCGGUGUUCGCAAAUGUCUUCAUUGGUGUUGUUGAAGUGUUUAGUGAUCGACGACGUCGCAGCGGGCUAUUGUCAAAGUCCAGGUGAGAAGGCAGUCCUCCGGUUCCAGUUUGUCGUGAAAAGUGAGAGAGCAUUCGGAGCCAUCACUAGGCACAGUGGUUUGGCACUGUUCCUUUAUGCAAGUCGUACUUCCAAAACUUCUUUAGGCACUCAUUCCUUCAUUGACGCGACUUCCUUGGGUUUAUUCUGGUUUUAUGCAACACGGCACAUCACCAAAACCCCAUCUCCUUCAAGCCAUAUACUCCAUUGACCUUCGGGUUCUUCUUGGUUUUAUGCAACACGGCAUUACCAAACCCAUCUCCUUCAAGCCGUAUCCUCCAUUGACGUGACUUCCUUCGGGUUCUUCUGGUUUAUGCAACACGGCAUUACCAAACCCAUCUCCUUCAAGCCACGUCCUGCGACUUCCUUCGGGUUCUUCUGGUUUUAUGCAACAUGGCAUCACCAAACCCAUCUCCUUCAAGCCACGUCCUGCGACUUCCUUCUAGGUUUUUCUGGUUUUAUGCAACACGGCAUCACCAAACCCAUCUCUUUCAAGCCGCAUAAUGUACGGACUUCAUCUGGAAAAUUACCAGAGACGAUGGUUGGAGAAAUGGCGCGACUGCUACUUCUGUUUGGGCUUCCGUCUGACGUCGGCAGUUGAUACAGCGUUAUGCAAAGAAGGAAAGGCUGCUGCUUGUUCGUCGUCACUACUGUUGCCUUGUUCGAAACCGUCCUUUGCAUUAUCGACGGGUUUCGGGACCAUCGCUGGGCACAAUGGGUUCUUCUUCUAAACUUGUUGAAACGUGGAAGAUGAUGGUUUCUUCUCUGUUGCAUUUCUGAAGAAACAAAGAAAAAUGUCGAAACUUCUUUAGACACCCAAGAGGCUUAUGGCAAACCGAUUUGCUACUGCAUUUUGGUGAGAUCUCCGUUGUUUUUUGUUUUUGUGGAGCUGCAAAUGUCUCCAUCGGUGGAGACAAAGAAAGAACACUCCGUGGGUGGAUGAGUUGACAGCGGCAAGGACGAAGAAGACGACAAACAUCUCCAAUGGUGGAGAAGAGGAAGGAAUAAGCCCAAGGACAUGUUUGGGGGGUCAGUGUGAAUUGAUGGUGCAUGUUUCCACCACCAUCUUCCUUUGCUUCGGUUAAACAAGAAGAAAAGAAACCCCCCCCAUUUUUCUGCAAAAGACGACAAGAACCUCCUAAUAAAAAUCAGGAAUCCAUUAUGAGAACGUAAAUACCUUUUUAAGCUUUCUCCUCUCUUUUGGCUUCUUGUUGCUGUUCCUUUUCGCUUUCUUUUGCUGCUUGUCUUUUUUCUUUUUUUUUUCCGUCAAUUUCCUUCCUCGUGUGCUUCUCAAUUUCUGCAGCGUUUUCUUAUCACCCCAUUCGUUGCAAUCUUUUCUCUCAAUUUCUGCAAAGUCUCUCUUCUUCUUUCUGUGUCUUCUGUCCUCUUUGCUUUGGUUCGAUGCUUUUUUAUAGGCGAACAGUGGACAUGGCAGUUGAAGUUAGUGGGAUGCAACUUUCCUGGGGUGUGGAGAUGUUGAGAGAAAACCAUCUCUUGAGUGGAGAACGUGGGAGUUUUAGAGGGUUAUAGAUACACACGUUCUCUAUACCCGGUUGCCAUGUAGAUGACAAACGCCUUCAGACUUGGUGUACGCUGAGGUCCACCUGUGCGGGUGUAGAGUUGUUUUUCCCUCUCUUUAUUUCUUAUAUAUAAAAUAUAGUAUAUAUAAGAAUAUAUGCACAUACACACAUAAAGUGAGCCUUAUUUAUAGUCAGUCCAUAUUUUGGACUCUAUUAUUAUUACUAUUAUUAUUUUGAAGUCUCCCCAUUUUUAUUAAGACUUGCUAAUAUAUUUUGUUUGUGAAAAUAUAUAGCUCAACAGUUGCCCCCUCAAGCAUCGUGCGUGGAAAUGGCUUUGACAUGUACGAGGCUUGAAAAUUUUUCUUUUCUCUAGCUCCAUUUAUGUUUUGAUUUGAUAAAAGCGUCCUUUUGUAUCUUUUAGCUUGAGCUUUCUUUUUGAGUUUUAGACUCAGUUUUCUCCUCUCUUAUUAACAGAGAAACAAUCUUGAAAGUUUGGAACAAAGGAUAGUUGAUGCUUUUUGCUGGGCUAGAGGUGGUGCUUGGUACUUCGUUUUGUUGACGGCAUUCCAGGAAAUGACAAGGUUGCCGCUGUUGCUGCUUGUGACCGAUGACGCAGCGACCGGGGACGUGCGAAGGUUGUUGCCUCUCUUGUUGAGAGGCUUGGUUUCAACCUUUCUUUAGUUGCAGGUUUCUAGAGGUUUUGCUCUAUUUUUGCCGAGAAAAGAGAGGGAGAGACUCUCUGAAAUUUUGAUUGAUGAAGAAGAAGGUUGAUCCUCCUAACCUUGCUGGGAAUCAGUGCAAGUCCCACCAUUUGCUUUGCUUUGGGGAGUGGGAAAGCAAAGCUUCUCCAUUUUUUUUCAAAAGCUGAAACAUAAUGACAAAGGAUCCAUAAACCUCUUUUUUUUUUUUUUUUUUUUUUUUUUUUUUUUUAUGCCCUUGCCAUGUACUCUUUCUGCUUGUUUUCCUCUUCUAUUUUUCUUGUCUUAUCUCCCCUGUUGUGUGCUUUCCUCUCUCGUCCUCUUUCCGUCGAUCUCUUCGUAACCAAGGAUGCAUGAUAAUUAUUUUGAUGACUUUGACAGUCUCAUUCUAUUACCUACAUGAAUUGACUAUGCAUAUGCAUAAUAUAUUUUGUUUGUGAAAAUAUAUAGCUCAACAGUCUCAUUCUAUUACCUACAUGAAUUGACUAUGCAUAUGCAACAACUAUAAAAAACAUCGGUUGGAAUCAUGAUCGAUGAAUAUGUUAUCAUGAUCAUUUUUGUAUUUGUUUGCCUAACAAACCAAAUAAUUAUCAGAUUCAGUGCAGAUUGAGUAUGAUCGUUAUCGCAUCAUUAAUUGUUAACGUGUGAAAUCUUGAGGCCGAGCCGCCCCUGGCCUCUGGUUCCCGAUGCCGGUCGUACUCUAAGCAAGUUCAUUUCUUAUUCGUUGUCUUAGGCAAUCAUUAUGGACAACAAUUUUUGGAAGAAGAAGAGCAAGAAGAGUAGCAGUAGAACACUCACGAGUACAUGUAUUAUUGAUCAUAUAUACAUAUCUGAAUAACAAGCUUACAUCUUAGGGAUGACAUAUUGAAUUAACAUUGCAUUAAUCAUGCCUUAUAUUACGCAAGUACUAAAUGAAAAGAAGCCUGGAUUUAAACAAUCUACAAACUGCAAACUGCAAGGAUGAACUGAUGUACUGAAAACAUGUUUUAUUCUGUAAAGGAAAAAUUCAAACCUAAAGCCAUACACCAGAAUGGUGCUGGUUUUGUUGGUCAUUCAUGGCAACAAAACGCCGAGUCACUCUGACUCAUUGACUGAAGUAAAAUGUGGGGUGGCAAUUAGGUACAACGCAUUCUUUCUCUUACAGGUCACUCCAAAGGUCUCCGUCAUGUCAAGUUCGUCUGGAUUCAUCCCAUUCGCCAGUUUCCAAUCGAAGCGGUAGAGCAAUUCAGCAAGAGCAAGUUCAACCAUGGUAACACCAAAUAACAUGCCUGGACACAUUCUUCUGCCGGCCCCAAACGGGGUGAACUCAAAGUCAAAACCCUUAAAGUCAACAGAAGAACCCUGAAACCUCUCCGGCUUAAAACACUCAGCAUCUGCCCCCCAUAUCUCUGGGUCUCUUCCCAUUGCCCAUAGAUUAAUAAUUACUUUUGAUUUAACUGGUAAUUCGAACCCGCCAAUUUGAACCGUGUCCCUUGCUUCUCUUGGGAGCAAAGGGGCUGGAGAGUGUAACCUCAGAGUUUCUUUCACCACCGAUUUCAGGUAGUCCAUUUUUUGAACAUCUUCUUCUUCAAUAACUUUGCUUUUCUUUCCUUCAAAUUGGAGGACUAACUGUCUCACUUCAGCUUGAGCCCUCUUCAUGACUCUUGGGUUUCUCAUCAACUCUGACAUUACCCAUUCUAAGGUAGUAGCUGAAGUCUCGCUUCCUGCAGAGAAGAUUUCCUGCACAUAUAACAAUUUUUUUUUACUGAGUUUGACCGUAAGAACGACAUUGAUGUUUGGGGCAAAAUGUGCAGCAUUACAAUAAUUGAUUUUAACCAUGCGGGACCAAAAUCAUGAGUUUCGAAAACGUAAGCAACCUUUCAUGAUAAAACCCCUUCAUAUACUUUUAUAAAAUGAUGAGUGAUAAAAUGUCUGCAGUACAACAAAGCAAGCCUACAUUACUCACCAGAAUGACAUCUUUGAUUUGAUUGGUUGUCAAGCUGAACUCCGCCUUACUGGACUCCUUAAGUUUUAGAAAUACGUCAACAAAAUUUCCCUCCUCCCCCUCCUCCUCCUCCUCUGCUUUGCCAUUGCCUGCUGUAGCAGUCCUAGUAUUACUGAUCAUCAAGUCCUUUUUGGAUCUUUUGAUCUUAUGAUCGUUGAUGAUAUUUUCGAGAAUCCUACCGAGCUUGCUAUGUAUGUCUUUCAUAGCAGGGAUUGACCCAGUAACGUACCCAAGAAAACUGAGUGAAGGAAACAAAUCAGGAAUAUCGAACCCACCAGCGACUUUGGUUGAUUCAGUUAGCAGCGAAAGGAACUCCUUUUGGUCUUUGCAUUUUUUCCCAAAUGUUGCCUUUGACACUACGUCAUUUGUGAAGCUGCCGCACCUGUCACUAAAAUUGAGGGCAAGUCCCUUGUGAGACGUAGAGCCAAUGGACUCAACAAGAUUCCACACCUCUUCUUCUCUUACGGAUCUCAAAGACUGCACACGUUUCACGCUCAGUAGCUCGAAAAUAGAAAUCUUUCUCAGCGAUCUCCAUAAAUCUCCAUAAGGAGCAAAGACAAUACUUCCGUGACCAAAAGACAUAACCUCUGCUGCCAAAACCACAGGCCUCUGUGCAAAUGCAAGCUCGUGUGUCUUCAACACUUCCCGGGCAGCUUUGGCAGAUGAAAUAAUCACGGCCUCUAUUUGACCCAGUUUAAGGUGCAUGAUGGGUCCAUGUUUCCUGGCUAAGGCUCUCAGUGUGUGGUGUGGCAGCGGACCGACCACCUGAUGCAAGUUUCCAAUAACAGGCAGCUUCCACGGCCCUGGGGGUGACUUUCGGCCUCCGGAUCUUGAUCGCUUCCAAAAAAACACCAGGAUGCAGAGAAGGAGAGAAGUGAAAAAAGACAUAUAGGGCGUUUCGACAAUUAGAAACAUAAGUUGAUCCAGAUAAGCUGUGAUCAAGUUCAUCAUACGAAUUUGGGGUAUUUUACUUGCAAACCAAGGCAUUUAAAUUUGGAUCGAUACUGAGCCCCAAUGUUGGAAGAGAUACGAAUUUUGGAGCCCCCUCACCAACUAAUAAAUAGCCAAAAUGGUCAUUGAGAUUUGCAUAAUCAAUAGAAAUGGUCAUUGAGAUUGAAAAUCAAUAGAAAUAGGGUGGAAAAAAUUCCCGAAAAUCCCGAACCGAACCGAAAAAAUCCCAAUCCCAAACCGAAAUUCCCGAAAUUUUUGGGAUGCUAUCCUGAACCGAUUCUAAAAUUUCGGUACGAGAUUCGGGAUUGGCUUCUCGAUAUUUCGGGAUGGGGCAUUUUGAUAUAGAUGCCUCAAAUUUGAAUUUUUUUAAUCAAACAUCUAUAACUUUUAAACUUUUGAUCAAACGUUCUUCUACUAAUUUUUAAUUAAAAUUAUGAUUUUUAUUGUAUUUAAUUAACCAACUAGUUCAGAAAAUAAUAUCACAAAUAUUCUAAAAUCACCACAAACUUCCUAUCUUAUCUUAUCAUAAUUCGUUCAAAAUGAAUUUUUCUUAUUCAAAUAAUUUGUUGUUUUAAAUUCUAAAAACACAUAAACAUCCUAUUAACAUACAAUUAUGAAAUAUAACAUGCACAUAUAUUAAAUAUAACGUACCAAACAGAUAUAUUAAAUAUAACGUACCAAUCAUUUGGUACGUUAUAUAAAUUUAAUCUGGGUACGUAUUAGUAUUUUGGUACGUAAUAAAAUAUUGCUUUUGGUACAUUAUGCAAUUCUUUAUUUAGUACGUACCAAGUUAUUAGUACGUUGUAUUAUCCUUAUUUUGGUACUUACAAAAUUUAUGGUACGUUAUGUGUAAGUUGUGUAACCCGAAAAAAGAUAACUUUUCACAUUAAAACAUUGCACUAAAAAAUAUUUUGUCAACUCUUAAUAAUUAAUUAUUGGAAUAAGGACUCAUUUUAAAUAAAAAUAAAAAUGUGAAAACUCUUAGUUCACGUUUCUACUAUAAAUAGUUGUUGAAAAAAUUCAAAUUUUAUUUUUAGUUGCAUGAAAUUAGGCAGUCUAGUCUACAUCUCAAUUUUAAUUAUAAACGAACUCUUGUUUUCUUAUAAUCUAUAUAAAAUGUUGAGUUGGAAAUUGGAAAAACUAUAUUUCGUCCAAUUAAUCUUGAACCCCAGUAGAUAUAAUUGAAUCUUUAAAUUGAGGAAGGGAUGAGAUUCCAUAAAAAUAGCAAUAAAUUAAUGAAUAUUAUUGAGUGCAAUUUUUUACGUAGAAGUGGAUUUAAAAGAAUUUAUAAAAUACUUAAAUUAAGAAUAAACCUGGAAUAUAAAGUUUAAUUAAAAGUAAAAGCACUUUAAUCAAAAGUUGAAAAGUAACAGAUGUUUAAUUUAGAAAAAUCUAAAAUGAGGCAUCUAAUUCUAAUUAACUGUUUCGGGAAUCCCAUACCGAACCUAAAAUAUAUAAUAUUAAUUAUUAUAUAUAUAUAUAUAUUUAUACAUAUAUUAUAUAUAUAUUAUUCUUUUAUAAUUGAUGCUAGUAGUUUCUAAUUCAUGCUUCGCAACCUGGAAUGGCCUACACCUUACAUAUUUUUCAUGUUCUGUUUUAUAUUCAUUUGGAUUUUAUUAUUGCUGCUGCCAUGGUUGAUGAUUUCAGAAGGCUUGAUUCUUUUGUCUCUCAAGUCUCAACAGAUUGCAAAAAUGGUUUAAUUAAUUUGAAUUUUGACUCUGAUAAAAACAGUCAGGCAUGCUAGUUUUAGAUUAAAUGGUAGUGUGAAUGAAAUGACAUUCCUAGUUCAUGAAUGUGUUCUUGAAUUAUAUAUUUGAACAACAAUUCAUAAUUUCAAAUUUCAAUUUGGGAUUCCCGAUUUGUCUCGAAAUCCCGAAAAUAUUUCGGGAUUCCCGAAAAUUUGGUUUGGGAUUGGUCUUCAAAUUCUCGUCCCGAAAAAUUUUGGUUUGGGAUUCGGGAUACUAGUUUCGGUAUGGUAUCCCAUACCGAACCACCCCUAAGAAAUGGUUCCUGAAAUUGUCCACCAUCCAUGAUUUUGGUCAUUCCGUUAAAAACUCUUUGGGCAAUUUUCAAAGCUUUGUAACUCAAUCGUUUCUUAACCAAAUUCGACCCAUAAUAUAUCAAAACGAAGAUAGGAAAGUGUAUAAUAAGAUUAUACCUAUUUGGAAACCCAAUGGUUGCCGGAGAUGGCCGAAAAAUAGCCUGAAAGGUGACUGGUCCGUGGGAAAACUGGAAAACUCGCUAGAAACUGGGUAAACUUUAAACGUUCAUAACUUCUUCAAUACUCAACGAAAUUGAGUGAUUCAAAAACAAAAAUCAUACUUCUUGAUGAGAUGAAGAGAAUGGUACCUUUAUAGAUGGCUAACUCUACAUGGUUUGGCAGGAAAACGGCUCGAAAAUGGCUAACUAGUUAUGAACGUUAUAAAGGUACCACUUUCAAGCCUUUUUAUGGACAAACCACGGCGAGUUAGUUAUCUAGAAAGGUACCAUUCUAUUCGUCAUGUCGAGAAGUAUGAUUUUCGUUUUUGAAUCACUCGAUUUCAUUGAGUAUUGAAGAAGUUACGAACGUUUAAAGUUUACCACGUUUCCGGCGAGUUUUCCAGUUUUCCCGCGGACCAGUCACAUUUCAGGCUAUUUUUCGGCCAUCUCCGGCAACCAUUGACUAGAAAAUAGGUAUAAUAUUGUUCUACACUUUCCUAUCAUUUUGAUAUAUUAUGGGUCGAAUUUGGUUAAGAAUCGAUUGAGUUACGAAGCUUUGAAAAUUGCCUUAAAAGUUUUUAACGGAAGGACCAAAAUCAUGGAUGGUGGACAAUCUCAAGGACUAUUUCUAUUGAUUUUCAAUCUUAGAGACCAUUUUUAUUGAUUAUGCAAAUCUCAGGGACCAUUUUGGCUAUUUAGCCUAAAAAGAAUCUUUAGAGUAAAUAGUAACACUGUCGCUCACUGUUAACUCUACUCAAUUAUAUUAAAAUGUUUUGUUCAUAAAUAUUUUAUUUAAAGUAUAAGUAUAAAGUCUUUCUUCACUUACGUUGUAGCACACAAAUUAAAUAUAUAACUUGCACAUAUUCAAUUGCCACCCAAUAAUUGAUCAAUUUUUAAUGUGAUCAAUUGAUUGGUAUUCAAAUUACACAAUUGACUUGUGUGUCCAUAUUCUAUAACCACAAGUUUGGUAAUAAGUAACAUUUUUUUGUAACAAAUUAAAUAUAUAACUUGCACAUAUUCAAUUGCCACCCAAUAAUUAAUCAAUUGAUUGGUAUUCAAAUUACACAAUUAACUUGUUAGUCCAUAUUCUAUAACCACAAGUUUGGUAAUAAGUCUAACAUUUUUUUGUAAACAAAAUUUAGUAAGAUUAAAAAAAAAAAAAAAAAAAAAAAAUAUAUAAUAUAUAUAUAUAUAUAUAUAUAUAUUUUAGAGUUGGUUUUGACUUGUGAAUAAAAUUGUUUAAAAUUAGCUUUUCUAAUAUUAUUUUUCCCAAAAAACAUUGUCAGUAUCUACAUAUUUAUAGAUUACACUAGAAAUUUGUACCCGUGAGCUACUACGGGACUGAAAAUUAUAUGAAAUAUUUUAUAGCUUCAAUUUUCAUAAACAAUGUUUGAGUGAAAAACAGAAAAUUACGAAUGGCAAUGCAAUUUAUAUGUAAAUUUAUCAUGAAUGGAACAAAUUUAGACACUAAAAGAAAGAUUUUUCAAAGUGCAAAGAAGAAGAUAAUUGUUUAUUCAAACAGUUUGACUAACGAUAACUGCGUAAUUGACAAAUGCAAUAUUGAGAGUAUAGCAGUCAAACAAAGCUCCCUACACGCUAAACAAUGUUGAAAAACAUUAUUAGCUUUUUCAAUUGUUAUAUGCAAUGAAUGUAAAGAUUGGAUACCAGAGUUGCUCCUAGCUUGAGGUGUUUCCAAAGAAGGAAAAAUAGACCUUUGGUUGUAACAGAUUUCAGAGUGUGUCAUGUACAAUUAUGAAUACAACUGCAAAAGAUAAUAAAGACAGUUAGCCGAUGAUAAACAAAAAUAUGCAUAAAAAGUUCAAAAUUGAGUUUUGGGAGAGAGAGAGAGAGAGAGAGAGAGAGAGAGGUGAAGUCACCUUGUAACCGGAGUUCAAAUGUAUUUUUCCUAUUAUGGAGGUGGUAAUUUGACUUGUGAUAUUCUGAAAUCAAACAUUUAAAUGCAGUUUAAUCAAAAUUUAGUACGAAAUGUUAAUUAGAAAUGUGUUAAAAUGGAAGUAAAAAAGAUUGAAACUUGCCUAAUGUGAUUGUACAAUUUUACCAUCUGUUUGAAAAAUAUAAGGAAAACUAAUGAAAAAGACUUGAAAACUUUUAGUUUUAACGAUAAGGACAAAAUAAAGGAUAAAGUGAAUAGUACCAAGAUUGACUUUUUAAUAUGAAAAUGUGGUUUUUCGUUAAAGUGAACAGUACCGAAAGCUUUUCGUUAAAGUUCCUAAAAAUAUACUACUCUAACAUGCCAUAUGUUGAUCUUGCCUUCUUAGAAGUGAUAUUAGUCGUUGAUUGCCAGAUAACUAAAAUCUGUACAACAUUUUAUAAAUUAUGAGACAAAUUAUUAUGUCAAGGUUGUGUGCUAAAAAAUAAUUUAUACUUCUAUAUUGAAGCAAGUUAUGAUUUUAAUUUGCAUAUACCUCGGUGGGGUCAUUCUGUGUAUGAGUUUCCUAUUCAUCAUCCAUGUAAUGUAAAAAGCUGAUUCCAAGUUUUGCACAUAAAGUCACAAAGAAAUGUUAUAUAUAAUUACUACUGAACUGAUGGGGUGAUUGAUAUUUUUGUAGACUGAGAUAAACACAUACUAUAGUUGGCAGAAACCAAAACAAACCCAAUAACAUUACUAUUAUAUUAUCAUUUUGAAACAUCAAUUAUUAAAAAUUAACCCACCAAUGACAGAUACGAAUUUAAGCAGCACUCAUAUAUUGAAAAUUUUGAAUAAACCAUUACAGAGAGAGAGAAAGUAUUAUUGUUUUCACCUGAACUGUAAACUGGGCCAGAUGAAUAGAAGAAACUGAAGAACUAUAAAUACGUGUGUAAGGUUUUGUAGUGCAGAAUUUUGUACUGUUACAGCAAUUUUAUCAAAGUUACACCUUAUGUCAUACUUAUGUUUGAGUGUUAUCUUAAGAACUUGUUUGACAUAAGAUUGUUCAAUUAUAAAUAAUAUUUUUUACAUGUUUUUUAAUUCACACCAUUAAUACUUAUUUUCUUGCUGUUUAAAUUGUAGAGAAGUUACAAACUUGUAAUUAUGAAUCUGUCUAGACUGUACAUAAUUAGAGGACCCUAAUGAUGGAAACACAAUUUAUACAGAAAUUGGGAAGAUAGCACAAUUCUAAAGUGCAUAUAAAAGCACUUUACUAAAUCGGUGAAUUUGUUAAUUAUAUUUUUUAAAAGCAGAGUAGGAUAAAUUGGCUAUAUGGAGAUCCCACAAAAACCGACUUAUAAAUAUUCUAAACUCUCAUCCAAAAUUCAAACUGUUAGCAAUUUUACACAAAAAUAUUUACUUGUAUGACAAUUACUACAAUUUGAAGUAAAAUUUAACAUAUGCAAUAGUUGAAUUUAAUAACUAACAACAAUAUUAAUAUUAUCAAGAGAGAAAAAAAGUCACAAAAAAGGAAACCCCACAUAAUCCAAGACUUUGUACUGAAAGGUAACUACCUUUCUUCAAGAACUACAAUUGAAAUUGCAGCAGCUGUGUGGAUGCAAAUUUCUUCCUCCUUCUUCUUAGACAAAAUUGCACCUAUAAAACAAUUAACACCUUAGAGUCAAGGCCAAGAGCCUCAUGCGCCCACGAUGAAUGGGGGGGGCUUUGGCCGAAGAAACUCCGAUGCCAAAGUUAGAAUUUAGAGAGAAAAAGUGUUUAGAGAGUUUGUGGAAUUUUGCAAGAGUGUUCAACCAGGUUUUGGUGAAAAUGGGAGCCAAUAUAUAGGGGAGAAAAUGUGUGGCCGGCCUUUAGGCAAUGGGUGAUUUAUUUUGGGGGGUUAUGGAAAUAAUGGGCUAGUUAUUUUGGGGAGUUAUGGAAAUAAUUGGCUAGUUAAUUAGCAAAUAAUAAUAGCCUAAUUAACUAGCUAUUGAAUGUCAUAAAAGGGAAAAAUAUGGUAGCAAAAAUAAAGGGCAUGGCCGGCCCUCUUGGGAGAGAGGGUAACCGGCCUUUGGUGUGUUUUUUGGGUAUAAUUUGGUGGUUUAAUUGGUAGUUAUUGGAUUAAUUUGGUAAUAAAUCCAUUAAUUACCAAUUAACAUAAUUUUAAAAGAAUUGUUGGGGAGGUUUAAGGAUUAAUUACCUUGUGGAGAAUAAAGGAUGAAGAUGGAUGAAAUAAUUCGAGUGUUACCUUUUUUGGGUCUUUUUUGACUUGGCUGAGGGUUGAUUGCCCACUACUCGCGCGUAGGAAACUCGUUAUGCCUCAAGGGUAUUUUUGUCCUAUUUUAUCCAAAAUCCACGUGUCGCCUUGUGAUUAUUUUUGGCUCCACAAAUGCCCCCACACCUGUUGGGCUGCUCGUAGGAAAGGACAGCAGGUGUAGAGAUCUUCUUGCUUUAGGAAACGUAGGACCGCUUCCUAUUUUGAUGUAGAUUCCCUCUUUAACAGGAAAUUAGGUUCUUCUAGGAAAGGGAAAUAAAUUUCUCUCAAAGCCUAUUUAAGUCCACCUUAAGUGGGUUAUUAAAUCAACUUUGGAGAGCAAUUUAUUCUACCCUACAAGAGAAAGAGAGCUUAGAGGAUAUUUAUUUCCCCUCAUCUAGCAAUCUUCUACAUCUUGCCCGUGCAAAUGACAGUCUUUCGUUGAUUUCUUCGUCUCAUUCGUGACGCACCGUGGUAAGAAAAUUUAAAUUUUCUUGUCUUCUUCUUGGGUAGUGCUAUUGCAGGACAGUCGUUGGGGUAGUGCGGCACGUUGGUUGGCAAGGGCCAGGAGUCGGUUGGGCAUGAGCCGACUAGAUGUCGUAGCAGGGACCACUGCUUGGGCAGCUCGGCUUGGCUAGAGACAAGGGUAGCUUGUGCUACUGGGGCUGCGGAUUGUGGCGCUGGGGCGCAGUGCUAGGCAAGUCGUAUGGCUUUUGUCCUUUGGGCUCUUGGACUUGACUCGAGCCAGGCUGGCAACUGAGAGAAAUGAGGAAGUCGUGGGACCUCAUGGGCUGCUGGAAUGCUGGGCAUGCAGGCCUUCUGCCUGCUAGAAUGCUGGGUUAAGAUUCUCUGCUGAGUACCGUGAAUGUCGUUGGAUGCUUAGUCACCUUCGUCGGGAGAAAUGUAGGCUAUCCCCGAAAGAGGAGGUAAAGAAGAUCAAGGUGGAUGCAUUGGCUCGUCUGAUCGCUGUCGUAGAGCUUACUAUGAAUGAAGGUGGAAAGAAGACCCCGCCUGCUCAAGAGAUGCCGGUUAAGAGAAAACUGAAAACUUCUUCUGCUGCUCGGUCCGCAUGCUGCUAAGAGGUUUGUGAUUAGCAUGACUUCUUCUGAUGGGAAGAAAAAUGAGGCUGCUAGAUCUAAGCAUGUGGUGUCUGCCCUCGAGAAUGGCUAGUAUGAUUGCUGAUAGGAUUGCUCAACAUAGAGGUCCUAUCGUGCCCCCAGUGCCGAAGUCUGUACCAAGACGUCCGUUGAGAGCUAAGUCUGGUUCACAUUUGGAGAGGCUUGCUAUUAUAAAGAACGAUAAGGUGGACUCUGCUGCUAAAGUGGCGCUAAGGCCCACUCCCUUUGCUGCUGAUACUGACUUGCCUGCUGGGAAAGAGGAAACUGCUCGCAUGGGCAGCUGUGAGAAAUCCACUAAGCCUGCUUCUGGGGAGGCUGUUGAGAUCCAUAUGCUUUUAAAACCAGAUCUGCUUGAAGACAUGGGCGCUUGUGCCAAGUUUGUUGAUAGCGUUAGAAAGGUUGUUUGCCUAAGUUCCUUUACGAAGCAUACGACCCAAUAUAGAAUAACUGCUUUGCUUGCUAUGAUGCAGAUGUAGCAAGGCUGCCAAUGAGGUUGCGAAGACUAUGGCAGCUGAAGCUUAUUCCUCGGCUGAGGAGAUCAAGAGAUUGGAUUCUGAGCUCAUUGCUUUGAAGGGGUCUAAUAUUUCUGCCCCCACUUAUCUGUAGCUUGAGACCGCUCGCCAAGAGAUCAUUAACUUGAAAACUAGGCUUGACGCGAUCCAAGUUAAGUAUGAAAGUGUAUAGAAGGAGAUUGGAUGUUACAUACCUCAGAUUCCAGAUCUUGAGUUUGCAGUUUCUGAGCUUCGUUUCGCUGCUUAUGCAAAGGAUGAAGAGUUGAUUGUUGCUUACAAUCAAGUGAUCCACUUCAAGAGAAUCGUCGAUAGGCUUGAACCCCAAGUAUUGGAACUUCAAGGUGUACUGAAGAUCAAUGAAAGUCUAAAGAAGGAAAUGGAUGAGCUACAACGCUUCCGUGUUGGUCUGCUCGAGGAGAAUGAGUAGCUGAAGGGUGAGAAAAAUGGGCUUGAGGUUUCGAGACCUUAUCUAUUUCUUUGGAAGACUUGUUUGCUUUUACUUUUGAGGCUUCCAUUGGUGAAGUAGUUUGGAGAAGUUGGUGCCCAGGCUGGGGCAGCCGGGGUGAAGCGCUGGAUGGUGCCGCUGCUAAGAGCGUCAUGGCGACCGAAUAGUCGUGGGAUGUCCAAGUUACUGAAGUGUAGUAUUCUAGGUAGCCUUUAGGAUUUUCUUUGUUUUUCCUUGUAGCUCUUAUUUUGCUUGAACUCCUUCGGCCUUUACUAAUUGUUUAUAAACAUGCUUCAUUCGUUUUUCUUCAUCUUCGCUUCUUUUGUUCAUGCCCUAACCUUUAGACUUGAUAAACUAAUGACAGGCACGCCAUUUUUUUAUAAGCAGACAAGCUCGCGUAACUUAUACAAUCGUAGAUGUUGGUUCGUAGAUGUUGGUGUAGAACUUUGCAAAGUUGUUAACCAUAGGGUUGGCAGCUGGAUGCCUUACUUACAGAAGUAGACAAACCCGCGUAACCACUAGGCUGUUAACCUUAGCUUUCUCCAAUUCCAUAGGUUGCGUAGCAAGUAUCACAACACUUUAGGACUUGGUGUAGGUUGUUCCACGCUUGGCAGAUAUGAAGCUUAUCGACUACGUAACAUGUCGGCAGUGGAUAAUGCUUCAUACAUGCACGCUAGCUUGUUUAACCUUUCACAAUAAUGUGUGGUUGUAUAAGUCUAGCAUGGCUUUUCUGCUUGAAGGGUAAGCCGUAGGCAGUCUUUUGGAAACCGUAGGCUACAUUAGUGCACUCGGAAGCAGUUUUAGGGUUCCAGGCAACCGUCCAUUAGAUGUACCGCGUAAUGUGCCCCCUCCGUCUCUAGGGCCCGGUUCCCCACGGAUUAGGCCAAAAGACCCAAAAUCCUUCAGUUAGCUAAGCCUUGAAAAAGACUAUUGUGGCUACUUCUAGGAAUCCCGGCGCAAGCCAUUAUGCAUCUAGUUAUACUAGGGCAGCCAGACUCAUCCACGUCUGGAUAUUAGGAGUGUAUAAUUUAUCAUCCCGUCUUAGAGAGCUGACCCAUGUGGGUGUCGAGGAAUUAGUUUACCUUCUCGCACUAGAGAGCAUAAUUGGUCCCUCGGAGGGUGCAAUUCCUGCGAUGAGUCCCUAAGAAGGGCGCGAUAUUCUUUUGAAGUGCAGGAGUGAUAAGUUGUUGUAAGCAUGCAGCCGAGCCAAGUUGUGAUUACUUUUGAAUUCCUCAUUGAAAAACGAGUGAAACGAAUGAAAACUUAGAUGUAAGGUAGGAACUGCAUAACAACUGGAUAGUUCUCGGCUUGCGAGGUGGUGCCCGUCGAGUUGCUUGAGUCUUCGGGCUUUGAUGUAGCGGGAGGUCACACAUGGUACUUCCUCAGAUUGUAGGCGUUCCACUGAUUUUAAAUCUUUUUGUUGUUUUAUGGUGGCGAGGGUGUAAUUACUCUUGCUGCCUACUCUGUUGAUCUUGUACGGACCUUCCCAGAUGGGAUCCAUAUUUUUGGAGCCUUCUCCUCGGGCAGUGAUGAAGGCUUUUCUUAGGACUAGAUCUUCGGGCUAGAACUGCUAGAUCUUAGCCCUUUUGUUGUAGCUGGAGAGGAGCUGCUGCUGGUAGGCUGCAAUACGGGUGCUGGUCUGCUUACGCUUCUCCUCUGCCAAAUCUAAGCUUGUGACCAUCUCUUUACUGUUCGCUCAAUGCUUGGUAGUAGAGCGGUGAUACUUGGCUUGAUGACAUUAGGAUGAAUGAUUGCUUCCGAACUAAAUGCCAAAGAGAAAUGAGUUUCACCGGUUGCUCGUCUUUUGGUGGUGCGAUAUACCCAUAGACAUCCGGGGAGUUCGUCUGGCCAUUUUUCCUUCUUGUUGGUGAAGGAUUUCUUGAGGCAGUCGAGGAUCAUUUUGUUGGAUGCCUCGACCUGCCCAUUGCUUUGAGGAUAUCUCGGCAUGGACAUAUGCUGCUUGAUGCCAUAUUCUUGGAAGAACUUCUCCAAAUCUCUGCCCAUGAAUUACGGGCUGUUGUGGGUGACGAUGGACUGAGGGAUGCCAAAUAGGCAAAUGAUGUUCCUUCAUAUGAAGCGCUCUAUGUCCGUUUGAAUCUUAAUCAUCAUGGGUUCUGCUUCUACCUAUUUGGUGAAAUAGUUGGUUGCCACGAUUAUCAUGCCUCUGCCCCCAGUAGCAGGCAGUGUAGGUCUUACCAAGUCGAUUGCCCACUGGAUAAACAGCCAAAGACUCAUCUGCGGGUGUAGCUCGCUGUAAGCAGUGCUGGUAUCGGCUUGUAGCGUUGGUAGCGGUUGCACUUUUGUACUAACUCCUUAGUAUCUUGGUGCAUGAUAGGCCAAUAAUAGCUUGUGGUAAGAGUUUUUUAUGCUAAGAAUCGGCCUUUGAAGUGGUUUUCACAAACACCUUUGUGGAUUGAGCUUAGAACUUUCAAGUCGUCGGGAGGCACUAGGCAGCGAAUAUGUGGUCCAGUGUGGGAUCUUUAGAUGAGAAUGCUGUGACACUUAGGCUACUGGCUCCUUCUCUAUGCUUGGCUUGUCAAGAUAUUCCACCGGAAUAGAGCAUUUUGAGUUGGUGAUCGAGGGUGGAGCCUAGGCCGGCUAGUACAUCUGCAUAGGCGUUGUUCGCCCGAGGAACUUGAGUGAGAGUGUAAGUCUGAAAUGCCUCAAGCUGCUUGCGUACUUUCUCUAGGUAUUGCGCCAUCAUCGGAUGUUUUGCCGUAUACUCCCCAGUAGUCUGGCUGGUGAUUAGCUGGGAAUCAGAAUGAAUUAUGAGCUUCUUCACUACCAAGUCUUUUGCCAUUCGGAGGCUUGUUAGUAGGGCCUCGUACUAUGCUUCGUUGUUAGAUGAUUUGAAGCUUAAAGUGAUCGCCUGCUAGAGCAUUGAGUCGUCUGGGGUGACAAGAACCACGGUUGCUCGCGAGCCUUUGUAGUUGGAUGCGCCGUCGACAUACAAAUGCCAGAAAUCUCCAUUGAGGGAGCAAGGGCGGCUAAAGUGUGCUUGGCUGAUUUCGGGGCGUUGUUGGGCCGCUCUGUUACGUUGUCAAGGUUAGGCGUGAAUGUGUGGUAGGGAGUCGUGGGGCUGGGGCCAUGUUACAUGUAGUAGAAGAUGCUCAACUUCCGGUAUUGGGCCACUCUAGAGCUGAAUAAUGGAGCAAGGGUCGGCUAGGGCCGUGUGAUGCGCAGCAGGAAGUAGUGCUCAACUGCCGGUACAUGUUGCUCUUAUGUAGAAUCUUCUGGGGCGACGAGGACAAAACUUGCUUCUGAGUGUUCCUUCCAGUGUUCGUCUACCCUUGGCGUGUCUUUUUAGUCUCUCAUUUGGAUCUUCUUGGAUUACGAAGGGAGCAAGAGAAAUGUAGAGAGAGAGAGUGAAAAACUAGAGUAAGGAAAAUUGGAAUAAUCACUGCAACAUCCCUGCUAUAACAGAGUGAUGCAUUUCAUUCAUAUAUAUCAUCCUCUUACAUCAGUCAUCACAGCCAUUCAAAUACAUGAGCCGUUGUGAUUAUGACACAUGGCAAUUACAAGGCAUGUGAGCCAUUGAAAAGGUGAAAACUGAUCUAAGAUUCUACACUUGGCAUAUAAGCACAAGAUCACAACAGAAAACAGUCAUACAAUAGGAUAAAGAUAAAUUGAGUAAGUAAAUCAUUUACUAACAAGAAAUUAGUAAGCAAUUUACUUUUCAACAAUUAGUACGUAUUAUCAACGUACUAAGUAGCGUUCACCAAAAGAACACACACAAGUACAUAUAUUAUUGAUAUGAAUAACAAGUUUACAUCUUAGGGAUACAUAUUAUACAUUAAUCAUGCUACAUCUUAGGGAUACAUAUUAUACAUUAAUCAUGCCUUGUUACGCAAGUACUAAAUGAAAAGACCGGAAGAGCGCGCUAAAGCCUUAGAUUCAAACAAUCUGCAAACUCCAGGGAUGAAAAUCAUUGCACUCGAAAAUAUGGGAACGAAAGUGGGACAUUGCGAAGACUGAUGGGACUGAAAACGUGUUUUAGCCUGUAAAAGAGGGAAUACACAAGUGAAUGGACAAUUGAUACCUGACAAACCAGAAUGGGAGCUGGUUUGUUGGCCGUUCAUGGCAACAAAACGCCGAAUCAAUCUAACUCACCGAGUGAAGUAAAAUGUGGGUGGCGAUUACGUACAAAGCAUUCUUUUUCCUACAGCUCAGUCCAAAGCUCUCUCUCAUGUCAAGUUCGUCUGGAUUCAUCCCAUUUGCCAGUUUCCAAUCGAAGCGGUAGAGCAAUUCAGCAAGAGCAAGUUCAAUCAUGUUAACACCAAAUGACAUGCCUGGACAUAUUCUUCUGCCGGCCCCAAACGGAGUGAACUCAAAGUCAAAACCCUUAAAGUCAACAGAAGAGCCAUGAAACCUCUCUGGCUUAAAACACUCAGCAUCUGCCCCCCAUAUCUCCGGGUCUCUUCCUAUUGCCCAUACAUUAAUAAUUAGUUUUGAUUUAACUGGUACUUUGAAUCCGCCAAUUUGAACCGUGUCCCUUGCUUCUCUUGGGAGCAAAGGGCCUGGGGCGUGUAACCUCAGAGUUUCUUUCACCACCGAUUUCAAGUAGUCCAUUUUUUGAACAUCUCUUUCUUCAAUAACUUUUCUUUUUUUUCCCUUCGAAUUGGAGGACCGACUGUCUCACUUCAGCUUGAGCCCUCUUCAUGAUUCUUGGGUUUCUCAUCAACUCCGACAUUGCCCAUUCUAAGGUAGUAGCUGAAGUCUCGCUUCCUGCAGAGAAGAUGUCCUGCACAUAACAAUUUUUUUUUACUGAGUUAGACCGUAAGGAUGACAUUGAUGUGUGGGGCAAAAUGUGCAGCAUGACAGUAAUUGAGUUUCAAUGUGCAGGACCUAAAUCAUGAGUUUCGAAAACAUAAGCAACCAUCUGUGAUGAAACCCCUUCAUUUAUUUUUAUAAAGUGACGAGUAAUGACGAAGAUAAAAUGUCUGCAGUACAACAAAGCAAGCCUAUAUUACUCACCAUAAUGAUAUCUUUGAUCUGAUUGGUUGUGAAAUUAUACUCCACCUUGUUGGAUUCUUUAAGUUUUAGAAGUACGUCAACAAAAUCUUCUUCCUCCUCCUCUGCUUUGUCCUUGCCUGCUGUAGUGCUACUAGUACCACUGAUCAUCAAGUCCUUUUUGGAUUUUUUGAUUUUAUGAUCGUUGAUGAUAUUUUCGAGAAUCAUACCGAUCUUUCUUUUUAUGUCAUUGAGAGCAGGGAUCGACCCAGUAAUGAACCCAAGAAAACUGAGUGAAGGAAACAAAUCAGGAAUAUCAAACCCACUACCAAGUUUGAUUACUUCGUCAAGAAGCGAAAGGAACUCCUUUUGGUCUUUGCAUUUUUUCCCAAAUGCUGCCUUUGACACUAUGACGUUUGUGAAGCUGCAGCACCUGUCCCUAAAAUUGAUGGCAAGUCCCUUGUGAGACAUUGAGCCAAUGGUCUCAACAAGAUUGCAUACCCCUUCUUCUCUUACGGAUCCGAAAGACUGCACACGUUUGGCGCUCAGAAGCUCGAACAUACAAAUCUUUCUCAGCGAUCUCCAUAAAUCUCCAUAACGAGCAAAGAAAAUGCUUGCUUGACCAAAAGACAUAACCUCUGCUGCCAAAACCAUAGGUCUCUGCGCAAAUGUAAGCUCAUGUGUUUUCAACACCUCCUGGGCAGCUUUGGCAGAUGAAAUAAUCACGGCGUCUAAUUGACCCAGUUUAAGGUACAUGACGGGUCCGUGCUUCUUGGCUAAGUCUCCCAGUGUGUGGUGUGGCAACGGACCAACCAUCUGGUGCAAGUUUCCAAUAACGGGCAGCUUCCAUGGCCCGGGGGGUGACUUUAGGCCUCCGGCUCUGGAUCGCUUCCAAAAAAUCACCAGGAUGCAGACAAGGAGAGAAGUGAAAAAUGGAAAAUAGGGCGUUUCGUCAAUUAGAAACAUAAUUUGAUCCAGAUAAGCUGUGAUCAAUUUCAUCAUACGACUUUGUGGUAUUUUUGCUUUGCAAAUCAAAGCACUUCAAUUUGGAUUGAUAUGUUGAAGUGCUUAAGGUCUUCUCAACUUAUGGAUCCUCCUCAACAACUAAUAAACAAAAUCUUUUGGAUUGAUAUGUUGAAAGUGAUUAAGGUCUUGUCGACUUAAAUACUAGUUAAGUUUGCCAGGUUCUUGCCGGGUCACCUCUUGCAUAUAUACUUUGGCCUGCCUCAUGUACAAAAUAUAGAUGAAAUAUGAAAUAUAUUACCAUUUAAAAUCAGAAAUUCUACAUGAUUAGAACCAAGGUAUAAAAUAUCGAUGAUAUCGGAAAUAUCGGUAGUCUAAAAACACGGAAAUUUCAAUGGAAAUAUCAGGAUAUUAUCGAUAUCGAUAAAAAUUGAAUAAAAACCACGGAAAUUGUAAGAAAAACUUGGAAAUUUUUAUUGAAACUUUAUAGGAUGUUUAUUUAGUCAAUUAUCUAUUAGUUUAUCACAAAAAAUUGGAAAGAAAUGCAUUGCAUGAUGGAUUUAACUAAUUUAAGUUGAUUAUAUAGCGAGCUGGCAAACAUUAUGAGUGUAGAAAAUAUGUAGUAAUUAAUGAAAGAAGUUUAAACACACACCCACAAUUACACAUCUCUCUCUUUCUCUCUAUCUAUGCCGUACCUCUCUCUCUCUCUCUGGCCUCCAUAAUUGUUCAGUAAAUUAUGUUUAUAACACGUUAUCAGCACGCUCUUGACGAUGCGCUAAAGAGAAUUUAUUCUUCAAUCAGGGAAGUAUUACGUUGUAAUCAUUCUUUUUAUGAUUAAUAAAGGAUUAGUACGUAUUAUCAACGUACUAAGUAGCAUUCACCAAAAGAACACACACGAGUACAUAUAUUAUUGAUCUGAAUAACAAGUUUACAUCUUAGGAAUAUAUAUUAUACAUUAAUCAUGCUACAUCUUAGGGAUACAUAUUAUACAUUAAUCAUGCCUUAUUACGCAAGUACUAAAUGAAAAGACCGGAAGAGCGCGCUAAAGCCUUAGAUUUAAACAAUCUGCAAACUGCAGGCAUGAAAGGAUGAAAAUCAUUGCACUCGAAAAUAUGGGAACGAAAGUGGGACAUUGCGAAGACUGAUGGGACUGAAAACGUGUUUUAGCCUGUAAAAGAGGGAAUACACUAGUGAAUGAACAAUUGAUACCUAAUUAACCAGAAUGGAGUUGGUUUGUUGGCCGUUCAUGGCAACAAAACACCGAGUCAAUCUAAUUUUGUACAUUAAGGCAAUUCAUUGCUUGAGAAAGUUGCACACUGGCACCGGUGUUCCAUCUGUUUUAUGACUUGAAUGACUGGAUUCUGCGAGUCGAAUGUGAUUGGUUUUAUACAGAUUUACGUGCGUAUUGUUCCAAUUUCCGAGUGUUUGAUCAUCGUGUAUGAUUGCGUGGGAAUGCUUGUAGUCAUAAAUCAAGGGAAUCACAGGAUUUCUACUUAACGGUUAAGGUUCUACAUCAUCACCCCCCAUCACCACCUCCGCCGUCGCAACCACCAUCAUCACCCCAUCACCACCGUCGAGGACACUACUACUACCAGUACCAAGGCAAGUACCAACCAUCAUCCCUCUAAAAUUUAGGUAUUUUUGAAUUAGGUUUUACUAUUAAUGUGAAUUUCUUGUGUAGGGAUUUUUAGGGGUUUUAAGUUAGAAUUUGUAGAAUUUGUAGAUCGAUUGAGCUAAGAAGAAGAAUCCGUCAGACGAAAUCUCACUGACUGGAGUGCCCAAUCCAAUGGCGAUUUCCGUGACGGCGUCCGCGAUUCCUUGUCUCAGCUCUGACCGUAGGGCUCACAUAGUUGCGGCGGCGGCAUCAUCCUCUUCUUCUUGUUCAAAGCUGUCCUCCUUGACUUCUCUGCGAUUUCCAUCACACCUUCGACACGUUCGGAUCGGAACACGGGACUCACGGCCUCGGAUUCUUCCUCCGGUAAUCAAUUUUUCGAUUUUGUAGUUUCGCGGUUUGUUUGUUUCCCGAGAAAAUCAAGGAAAAUAUUUAAAAUUUCUGGAGCUCGCAAGUUAAAUUCCUUUUCUGAAAUUUCUCUAGUGGAUUAAAUUGCAAAAUUUUAAUUUAGGGAGCAAAGCAUACAACUGGAAAUCUUAUUGUUAUCAUAUUUAUGGCAAGAAACCAAUUGCUUUGUAUUUCUUUGCCCUUUCCGUUUCCUCUAAGUUGUGAGAAAACCACAUGGGUUGGUUUUUCGGUUUUUCAAAAUUAAAGUCUUUUCGGGAGAGAAAUAUAAUUCAUAGUGAAGUGCAGGUAAAGUAAACUGUUAGUGAGAUACCCAUAUGGUGAAUUUGUGCAAAAUCUGCACAAAUGCAGUGUCACUGUGAUUGUGCAGUUGCAAAUUGCAAUCUGAGCAGUUUGCAAUCUGUGCUGUUAAAAAAAAAAAAAAAAAAAAGGGUACCCGUGGACCCGGCCCGAAUCGGCCCGUUUCAACCGGGCCGGGUAAUGUGCGGUUCUUAUACUAGAAAAUCCAAUCCCCGCCCCGUCCCGACCCGUUUCGUUUAAGCUCCAGUUCCUACAAACUUAGGUUCGGCCCGGCCCGCCCCGGCCCGUGCCCAGCCCUAUCUGCAGCAUUAGCAGAAGCAAGUAGUAGCUCGGGUUUGUUUUGAAUGAUGUAGCCCUCCUUUCUCGCUUUCUUACGUUCACGAUGUAGCCUGAAGUUCUCCCUCUUUUUAACCCGGUAGCUGUUGGGGUUCUCCGGCUGGACUUCUCGAGGGUAAACACUAAUCUGCGGACAAUACAAAUCAACGAUUCGUGUUAGCAUACAACACGCAGACAAUUAAACCACGAACCAUGACGGGUUUCGGAACUCCAGAUCAUACCUUCUUCUUGUCGGGUCCAAACUUCUUAAAUCAGAGAGAAUAUGGUGUGGUCCUUGCCGAGCCCCACAUUCUUCCCUGCAUGGAACUGAUAAUUCGAUGCCAAAACAAACCCAGAAGUCACAACAAUAUUCUACAUUUCUACAUGUGCCAAAAUGAAACAUUAAUCCAGAGAAAUGAUUUCCGCACGUUCAUUUUUCUCUCUCUAUACAGUCGUAUUUAUUUUUGUUUAUUGAUUUUCUUUUGGCGGAAACAAACAUCCAUCUAAACGAAAUGAACACGACGCACAUAUAAAUAAGUAAACCCGAACAUGACCCAUUGCCAAUCCCUAGCUUCAAGUACCCAAAUUCAAGUUCGACACAGUUCAUUUCCUUCUCAAAUUGGUUUUAAUUAUAGAAAACUAAUGAAAACGGUUUCAAAACUUUAAGUUUUAACGAAAAUGAUAAAAUAAAAGAUAAAAUAAAUAGUACUAUUUUUUCCCGAGAACUUUUUCCCGAGAACUUUUUCCCUUUAAUUAUUCCUAAUCCUACCAUGCCACCAAAAAAAAAAAUGAUAACCAAUUUUAUCAGAAAAAUGGGAGAAAUUGAAGUUACCUUGGUGCCACGCUGGCGGACAAUGAUGGAGCCAGCCUUGGCGACCUGGUCGUCGUAAAUCUUGACGCAGAGCCUCUGGCCUUUGGAAUCACGUCCGUUCUUGGUACUCCCAGCUCCUUUCUUGUGCGCGUUUUGAAUCGUCAAUGGAAGUCUCUGCGGGCCCAACGACACUAACGAUAGCUUGGGACCCAGUUGCAGAGAACCCAAAUCACCUCUGAAGAAGGAGGAGGACGACGAGCUGGAGGUGGAGGUUGGGCGAAGAGACAGACCCCUGAAAGCUCCGACUACGUUGAAACUCAUGGACGCAACCGCCAUUUCUGAGAAAUUAUUAAGCUUUCAUAAACAGGAGAGUGUGAAUUUGUGGACAGCCAAAGCUUAUAGCUUUGGACGAAGAAAGAAGAGGAAAGGAGAAUAUAGUGAAAACCUUAUCCUGGAGGCUGCUGAUUGGGUAUCUCUGCAGAGUGCGUUCUAAUUUUUUAUUUAGGCCGUUUAUACUUAGUCCAUUGGGCUUGAGCUAUAAGCCCACAUCCACCAGAGCGUUUUGGUCCGGUAGCCGCACAUGUGGUUGUCCGGCCAAGACUCACUUGGUGAAACCAAAAAGGGUUGGGUGAAGCUGAUAACAAAAAAGGUCUACGGAUUUGUCUUUCAUUGGACAUAUAAACCAUAUCGUUCACCACAAGUGAGAUGAUGCACUGCAUAGUUUGUUGGCCAUUCAUGGCAACAAAACGAUGAGUCAUUGUGACUCACCGAGUGAAGUAAAAUGUGGGGUGGCAGUUAGGUACAAAGCAUUCUUUCUCUUGCAGGUCAGUCCUAAACUCUCUGUCAUGUCAAGUUCAUCUGGAUUCAUCCCAUUCGCCAGUUUCCAAUCGAAGUGGUAAAGCAAUUCAGCGAGAGCAAGUUCAAUCACGGUAACACCAAAUGACAUGCCUGGACAUAUUCUUCUGCCAGCACCAAAUGGAAUGAACUCAAAGUCAAAACCCUUAAAGUCAACAGAAGAGCCAUGAAACCUCUCUGGCUUAAAACACUCAGCAUCUGCCCCCCAUAUAUCUAGGUCUCUUCCCAUUGCCCAUAAAUUAAUAAUUACUUUUGAUUUAACUGGUAAUUUGAAUCCGCCAACUUGAACCGUGUCCCUUGCUUCUCUUGGGAGCAAAGCGAGUGGAGAGUGUAACCUCAGAGUUUCUUUCACCACCAAUUUCAAGUAGUCCAACUUUUUAACAUCUCUUUCUUCAAUAACUUUGCCUUUCUUUCCUUCAAAUUGGACAACUGACUGUCUCACUUCAGCUUGAGCCCUCUUCAUGAUUCUUGGGUUUUUCAUCAACUCUGACAUUGCCCAUUCUAUGGUAGUAGCUGAAGUCUCGCUUGCUGCAGCGAAGAUGUCCUGCACAUAAACAAAUUUGUUUUGACUGAGUUAGACCGUAAGGACAACAUUGGUGUGUGGGGCAAAAUGUGCAGCAUGACAAUAAUUGAUUUUCAAAGCAACCAUUUGUGAUAAAACCCCUUCUUAUAUUUCUAUUAAGUGAUGAAUGACGACGAAGAUGAAAUGUCUACAGUACAACAAAGCAAGCCUGCAUUACUCACCAGAAUGAUAUCUUUGAUCUGAUUGGUAGUGAAGUUGAACUCUGCCUUACUGGACUCUUUAAGUUUUAGAAGUACGUCAACAAAAUUUUCCUCCUCCCCCUCCUCCACUUUGUCAUUGCCUGCUGUAGUAGUACUAGUACUACUGAUCAUCAAGUCCUUUUUGGAUCUUUUGGUCUUAUGAUCGUUGAUGAUAUUUUCGAGAAUCUUACCGAGCUUACUUUGUAUGUCUUUCAAAGCAGGGAUCGACCCAGUAACGAACCCAAGAAAACUGAGUGAAGGAAACAAAUCAGGAAUAUCAAACCCACUAGUAAGUUUGUUUACUUCGUCUAGUAGCGAAAGGAACUCCUUUUGGUCUUUGCAUUUUUUUCCCAAAUGCUGCCUUUGACACCACGUCAUUUGCAAAGCUGCAGCACCUGUCACUAAAAUUGAUGGCAAGUCCCUUGUGAGACAUUGAGCCAAUGGACUCAACAAGAUUCUGUGCCUCUUCUUCUCUUAUGGAUCUGAAUGACUGCACACGUUUCGCGCUCAGUAGCUCGAACAUACAAACCUUUCUCAGCGAUCUCCAUAAAUCUCCAUAAGGAGCAGAGAUAAUACCUCCUUGACCAAAAGACAAAACCUCUGUCGCCAAAACAAUAGGCCUCUGCGCAAAUGCAAGCUCAUGAAUCUUCAACACCUCCCGGGCAGCUUUGGGAGAUGAAAUAAUCACGGCCUCUAAUUGACCCAGUUUAAGGUGCAUGAUGUUGUGUUAGGACAGCACCAAACUCGUUGGAACCAACUCAAGCUAACUCACAGGAAAUUUAUCAAAUGAAAUGCAGGAACAAAAUAUUAAAGACACCAAGAUUUUAACGAGGUUCCUCAACAGUCAGUGUAACUGGAGUACGUCCUCGGAGCAGUAAGAGCUCACCCAAUAAUCCACUAUCAACCAAAUGGGAGUUUACAAAGUGUUGGCAAUCUCACAACCCAAAUAACCCAAUACACCUAAUAGCUCUCACACACCACAGAAACAAAUAGAGAAAGAAAUAUAAUGUAUAAUUUCUUCUUUAUACAUAUAGCUCAAAGCUAUUACAACAACAAUUAUGAUGGAUGAUUGCUAACAAAAAAGAAUAGCACUUUUUUCUUCUCUUCAACGAAGGGUUGCUGCACCCUUUCUAUUUUUCUGAUGCUCUGCAGCUUGCACUCCUUUUCUCAGCAGCUCUCUCCUUUCUCUUCUCUAUAACAAAAUGAGCUUUAUUUCUCACACUUAGUGCUCCAACCGAAACCCCCUUAUUCUUUUCUUAAAAAAAAACCCAAAGAGACAUCAUCAUUUUCUUUUCCCCAAAACAAGGAAGUGGUUAUCCACCUUUUUUCUUUAUAAUUUUUUAUAGCCAAAAGUUGGCCACUUGGCCACAUACUCCAACAAUCUCCACCUUGGCCAAGUUCUGAAAUCACCAUGAUAAGCCAACCAACACAAAAACACUCCCAAACACUAGCAAGAGAACAACUCAUGCAGAGCCAAAUGCUCCAAAACUCCUACUGCUCAACGCCUUCUUUAUAUAGGCAAAAUAUGAGCCAAGUUCAAGCAAUGAACAAACUUGGCUACACCAACAACCUUAGUCAACAUAUCAGCGGGGUUGUCUUUAGUUGGAAUCUUCUGGAGAAUGAUUUCCCCUUCACCAACAAUUUCACGAACAAAGUAAUAACGCACAUCUAUGUGCUUGGUCCUCGCAUGAUGAACCUGAUACUUAGCCAAAUAAAUGGCACUCUGACUAUCACAAUGUACCUCCACCUGUUUCUGAUUAACCCCCAAAUCUCUAAUCAGCCCAUGUAUCCAAAUGGCCUCCUUUAUAGCUUCAACAACUGCCAUAUAUUCAGCCUCUGUAGUAGACAAGGCAACAGACGACUGCAAAAUGGACCUCCAACAAACUGGUCCUUUAGCCAUAGUAAACACAUAGCCUGUAGUAGACUUCCUUCCAUCUAGAUCACCUGCAUAAUCUGAAUCAAUAUAACCAACUGCAAAAUGACCAAUACCAGAGUCAUCUCUCUCAAAGCAUAAACCAAUAUCUCGAGUACCAUGGAGAUACCUCAAUAUCCACUUAGCUGCUUGCCAAUGCUCUUUACCUGAAUUAUGCAUAUAUCGACUCACCAUGCCAACUGCAUGAGCAAUAUCCGGUCUAGAGCAUACCAUUGCAUACAUCAAACUACCAACCAAAUUUGCAUAUGGUAUAUUUUUCAUUUGCAGCUUCUUUUUAUCAGUUUUAGGACACUGUAGAGAACUCAAUUUAAAAUGAGGAGCCAAAUGGGUACUAACCGGUUUGGUUGAAUCAUGAACUCCAAACUUCCGAAUCAACUUCUCAAGGUAUUGUCUUUGAUUCAAACUAACCAAACAUUUCGCUCUAUCUCUAGUGAUCUCCAUGCCAAGGAUCUUUUUCGCUUCACCAAGAUCGUUCAUCUCAAACUCAUUCUUCAUUUGCUUCUUCAAUUUCUCAAUCUCUUCGACAUUCUUUAAGGCAAUCAACAUAUCAUCAACAUAUAUCAACAAAUAAAUGAAAGACCCAUCUUGCAACUUCUUGAAGUACACACAAUGAUCAUAUUGACUUUUAGAAUAAUUUUGGCCUCUCAUAAAUUUAUCAAACCUCAAAUACCAUUGCCUUGGAGAUUGCUUCAAGCCAUAAAGUGAUUUCUUCAAUUUGCAAAACAAAUUCUCCUUCCCUUUCACUAUAUACCCAUCCGGUUGACACAUAUAAAUUUCUUCAUUCAAAUCACCAUGUAGGAAAGCCGUCUUCACAUCAAGUUGCACAAGCUCAAGAUCAUACUGUGCAACAAGAGCUAACAUAAUGCGAAUUGAGGAGUGCUUCACAACCGGAGAAAAUAUUUCAUUGUAGUCAAUGCCCUCCUUUUGUGCAUACCCUUUAGCAACUAAUCUUGCUUUGAAUCUCACAUUACUUUUCUCAUCAGCAUUUUCCUUCUUGGCAUACACCCAUUUACAACCAAUAGCUUUCUUGCCCUUAGGCAAUUUAGCUAACUCCCAAGUUUUGUUCUUCAAGAGAGAAUUCAUCUCAUCACCCAUGUCAUUGCACCACCUCUCAUUCUCCUCACUCUCAAUGGCUUCCUCGAAAUUGGAUGGAAUAUCGUCAAUGAUAAUAGGAAGAGCAAAAGCAACAUAGUCACUAUACCGAGCUGGUUUGGUAAUCUGUCUCUUUCCUCUGUUCUUGGCAAUAGACUCUUGAGGUGAAACUUGCUCUUCAACUUGAAUAGAAUCUUCAAGUUCAACUUCUUCAACAUCCUCAUGGUCUCCAACUUCUUCACUUGUAGUGGCUUCGACAUCAGUGGAAAUAGGAUUUGAAGUAUCAGAGGUAACUUUCUCAAGCUCCACCUGUUGGACAUCUUUCACAUUCUUCUUAGAGUCUUUGUACAUACUUUCUUCAUCAAAUGUCACAUCUCUGCUGAUUACAAGUUUCUUCAAUUCUGGGCACCAUAACCUAUAACCCUUGACACCACUACUAAAACCAAGAAAGAUAGCAUUUUUUGCUCUAGGAUCAAGUUUAUUUUCAGUUACAUGAAAAUAAGCAGGAACCAAAAAUACGAAUAUGAUCAUAAUCAGAAGAAGGUUUUCCAGUCCAUACCUCCAUUGGUGUCUUACCCUGAAUAGCAGCUGAGGGUAACCGGUUGAUGAUGUAACAUGCAUAAGUAACUGUCUCUGCCCAAAAUGACUUGCUCAAACCCGACUGAGACAAUAUACAUCUAACCUUUUCAAGCAAGGUUCGAUUCAAUCUUCCUGCAACUCCAUUUUGUUAUGGAGUUCCCUUGACACUGAAAUGUCUUACAAUCCCUUCUUCUUUGCAAACUUUAAAGAAAGGGUCGGAUGUGUAUUCACCACCAUUAUCCGAUCUCAAAAUCUUAAUCUUUCUCCCAGUCUGGUUCUCAACCAUUUUCUUCCAACCCAAGAAAAUGCUCAACACCUCACUUUUGUGCUUCAUAGUGUAGACCCAAGACCUUCUUGAAUAAUCAUCAACAAAGGUCACGAACCAAUGUCUACCACUCAAAGAGGGAGUCUUUGUAGGACCCCAAACAUCUGAAUGCACAUAAUCAAGAAUGCCCUUCGUCUGAUGUACUGCAGUACCAAACUUCACUCUAGUUUGCUUUCCCAAGACACAAUGUUCGCAGAAAUCAAGUUUACAAGUCGUGGCACCUUUUAGAAGACCUUGUUUCACAAGCCCUUGUAGAGCUUUCUCACCGGCAUGGCCUAAUCUCAUAUGCCACAGUCUAGUAGUAUCAGAAUCGGAUGUGCCCAUAUUUUCUGAGACUACAAAUGAUUCACCUGUCACAGUGCUUCCUUGCAAUAAGUACAAAUGGCCACUUUGAGGAGCUUUCAUCACAACAAGUGCACCAUAAGUAACUUUCAAUGUAUGUCCAUCUGAAUGAAACCUGAAGCCCUUGGAUUCCAAAGUACCCAAAGAAAUAAGAUUUUUCUUCAAAUUCGGUACAUACCGAACACCUGUCAACUCUUUAACCAUGCCAUCAUGCAAUUUCAAACGAACUGUACCAAUCCCUUUUGUUGUGCAAGGAUUGUCAUCUCCCAUGAACACAACGCCACCAUCAAACUCUUUCAAGCUUGAAAACCAAUCCUUGUGAGGAGUCAUAUGAUGAGUACAACCCGUAUCCAACACCCACUUAGUAACACAAUCAAAUGAUGAGGAAGUGGUUAAAGCAAAAUCAGAAAAAUCUGUUUCAACCUCAGCAACAUUAGCUUCAGAACUUUCUUUGCCUUUGGUCUUCAAUUUAGGACAAUCUUUCUUCCAAUGGCCCUUAUUACGACAAAAGGCACAUUCAUCCCUUUCCAAAGGUUUUCUACCUUUAGAGUUUCCUCUAGGUCGAGACUGUGAUUUUUUCCUACUAGAAGAUGAUUUUCUCUCCGAUGAUCUACCUCUAACAAAUAAAGCUUCAGAGGUACUAUCAUGAUUUUUAUCUCUAUGCCUCAUUUCAUAAUUCAUCAAGGCAUUUGACACAUCUUCAAAUUUCACAGUUUCUUUAACAUGCAUAAUAGUGGUAACAAAAUGCUCAUAAGAGUCCGGCAAGGAAUUCAACAAUAUUAAGGCCUUAUCUUCAUCCUUAAUAUCCUCAUCUAAAUUUAACAAGUCGGCAAUCAACUUAUUAAAAGCAUCAAGGUGUCUAAUCAUUUUUGUACCUUCUUUGUAUUGAAAGCGGUAGAGCUUUUUCUUCAAGUGUAGCCGGUUCUCUGCACUCUUUGUCAUAUACUUGUCUUCCAAUUUUUGCCACAACACACUUACUAAUGUCUCCCGCAUCACAAAAUACUUCUGAGUUUUUGCAAGGCACAACCGAAUUGAAGAGCAAGCCCACAAAUUUAAUUUCUCCCAUUCCGGCUUCGACAUAGCUUCUGGCUUCUCUCCCAAAGCGGCAAGUAGAUCUUGUUGAGCCAACACAUCUUUGACCUCACAUUGCCACAUCCCGAAGUUGUUUGUGCCAUCAAACUUUUCCACUUCGAACUUUGCAUUUUGCACCGUAGUUCUUGCAAACCCGGAGCUGCUUCCAAAAUGAUUUUCAGCUUGCCCGUCUGACAUCUUUGGCAACUAGACAGUACCCAAGAGCAACCAGUGCUCUGAUACCAAUUGUUGUGCUAGGACAGCACCAAACUCGUUGGAACCAACUCAAGCUAAUUCACAGGAAAUUUAUCAAAUGAAAUGCAAGAACAAAAUAUUAAAGACACCAAGAUUUUAACGAGGUUCCUCAACAGUCAGUGUAACUGGAGUACGUCCUCGGAGCAGUAGGAGCUCACCCAAUAAUCCAUUAUCAACCAAAUGGGAGUUUACAAAGUGUUGGCAAUCUCACAACCCAAAUAACCCAAUACACCCAAUAACUCUCACACACCACAGAAACAAAUAGAGAAAGAAAUAUAAUGUAUAAUUUCUUCUCUAUACAUAUAGCUCAAAGCUAUUACAACAACAAUUAUGAUGGAUGAUUGCUAACCAAAAAGAAGAGCACUUUCUUCUUCUCUUCAACGAAGGGUUGCUGCACCCUUUCUAUUUUUCUGAUGCUCUGCAGCUUGCACUCCUUUUCUCAGCAGCUCUCUCCUCUCUCUUCUCUAUAACAAAAUGAGCUUUAUUUCUCACACUUAGUGCUCCAACCGAAACCCCCUUAUUCUUUUCUUUAAAAAAAAGCCAAAGAGACAUAAUCAUUUUCUUUUCCCCAAAACAAGGAAGUGGUUGUCCACCUUUUUUCUUUAUAAUUUUUUAUAGCCAAAAGUUGGCCACUUGGCCACAUACUCCAACACAUGAUGGGUCCAUGUUUCUUGGCUAAGUCUCUAAAUAUGUGGUGUGGUAGUGGACCGACCAUUUGAUGCAAGUUUCCAAUAAUCGGCAGCUUCCAUGGCCCUGGGGGUGACUUUAGGCCUCCGGCUCUGGAUCGCUUCCAAAAAAUCACAAGGAUGCAGACAAGGAGAGAAAUGAAAAUAGGAAAAUAGGGCCCUUCGACAAUUAGAAACAUAAUUUGAUCCAGAUAGGCUGUGAUAAAUUUCAUCAUACGACUUUGAGGUACUUUACUUGCAAAUCAAAGCACUUAAAUUUGGAUCGAUAUGUUGAAAUUGCUUAAGGUGUUCUCAAUGUAAAUACUGGUUUUGAAUUGGAACAAUAAAAAAUAAAAAAUAAAAAAAAAAUCAUGUGGAGUGCAACUGUGGAACAACAAAAUAAAAUAAAGAGUGUUUUAACGAAAAGCCCGUAGGUACUGUUCAUUUUAACGAAAAACCAUAUUUUUACACUAAAAAGUCAAACCUGGUACUAUUCACUUUACCCUUUAUUUUAUCCUUAUCGUUAAUAUUCAAAGUUUUCAAGUCAUUUUCAUUAGUUUUUCUUAAAAUAAAUGCCCUUGGAGUGCAAUGUGCAAAGCAAGUUCAUAAACUAUUACAUAAUAAUGCAGUAGACAUUUUUCAACCAAGAUGCCUGUUUUCUAGCUGGAUGCUUAAGUUAGCACGUGCAAUUUUCUAUUUGCAAAUGUGCAAACGCCCUUUUUUACUUGCCAUACGUCCAUGACAGUUCUGCGGAUUAAGAAAUGUGCAUGAGAGGUAAAAAGAGGUGUGUGAAUAGCACUACUCUUUGAAAUACAUUAUCAGCAUGAUACUAGUCCCAACAUUGAAAGAGAUACAAAUUCUGGAACCCCCUCCCCAACUAAUAAAAAAAAAAUUCUUUUGAGUGAGAUUGUAACAUCACCACUCCAUGUAGAGGCAAUCAAGAAAGCCGCAUAAGUAAAUAUAUACCCAAUAGAAAAGUGGGCUAAUCCAACCAAUCUUGCUUGCACAAUGGAAAGAGCCACCGGUUUAUCUCUCCAUCGAAUCAAAUUAGCCAAAGAUGUGCGUUCAUGAGCCCAUGCUAAAGUUUCAAUCAAUUCCUGCCAAUAUCUACUCCAGGAAAUUAAGAACAUAAAUCAUGUAGCCCAUUACUCUAUUCAGAUAUAUUAAAGUGUUUAGGGAUGAAUUCUAGGCCCAGUGGUUAUAGAUGGAUGAAUUCUAGGCCCGUAUUACGCUUGGCACAUCCUGUGAUUGAUUCCUGGCGCUAGUAAAUUGCACGAUGGUGGCUAGGGGAAGUCUGAAAUGCCUUUAUGACCCUUCUCGACCCCCGAAAGAGAAGACUGUCUUGGCGAAGCCACCAGCUGAUCCCUUUUAAAAAAAAAUUAUAUUAAAAUGUUUAUUCAUCAAUAUUUUACCUAAAGUACCAGUAUAAAGUCAUUCUCCACUUACGUUGUAACACACAAUUUAAAUAUAAAUCUUGCACAUAUUCAAGUUUCACCCAAUUAUUAAUCAAUUUUAAUGUGAUCAAUUGAUGGGUAUUCAAAUUAGACAUUUGACUUGUUUGUCCAUAACAGCAAGUUUGGUAAUAAGUCUAACAUUUUUUUGUUAAUAUAGUUUAGUAAGGAUAAUAAAUAUAUAUUUUUAGAGUUGGUGUUGACUUUGUUAAUAACUAGCCGAUGAGCAUUCAUUAUAUUUUUUGUUUUUUUAUUAAAGAUUGUGAUUAGUUUUUAAAAUUUUAAAAAGAGUAUGAAAAAAUGAUGGGGGAACAAUUUCUCUUAAUAAGUGCAUAUUUUAUCUUAAUAUUACAUAAUUACUGUUUUGUCCUCAUGUAAAUAUUGUGUAUCAAAAGUGAGGGUAAAAUAGGGAUAUGAUUGUCAUUUUCUCAAAAGAUACAAAAUUAAUAUUUUGCCCUCCUUAUGUAAGUAUUGUGUAUCAAAAGUGAGGGCAAAAUUGGAAAAAAUGUGGCGAAAAGUUGACAAGGAGGGUUCUCUUAAUAAUAGUACUAGAAGAUGAGCACACACUUUGUGUGCGAACAAUUUCAUUUUCUUUUUUAUUUUUUAUUAAGGAGUGUGAUUAGUUUUUAAAUUUUUUAAAAAGAGUAUGAGACAAUGAUGAUAGGAUCUCUUAAUAAGGGCAUAUUUUUCUUAAUAUUACAUAAUUACCAUUUUGCCCUCUUUAUGUAAAUAUUGUGUAUCAGAAGUGAAGGUAAAAUAAGAAAAAAUGGGGAUAUGAUUGUCAUUUUCUCAAAAGAUACAAAAGUACUAUUUUGCCCUUCUUAUGUGGCAAAAAGUUGACAAGGAGGAUUCUCUUAAUAGAAUAGAAAUAGAUAUAUAGACAAUGUACAAAUUGAGCUUAUAUGAUAUUUUCCCUAAAAAAUUGUCAGUAUAAGCAUAUUUAUAGAUUACAUGUGCCUAUCAUAAAAGUAAAAAAAAGAGACAUGAUUUCUUUCUUUCUUUUUUGGGCCUUUCAUGUUGAUUAAGUGGAGGUUUAAAUUUGAACUAAAACUCGUUUGGAAAUGCUUUUAAAAUAAUUGAACACGCUUUUAGAGAAAUGUUUUUGGGUUCCAAAAACAAUUCAAGUGUUUUUCCACAUUUUACUAAGGAUUGGUUAUAAAAACAUUUUCACCAAAAACUCUUUCAGUCAUUUUAAAAACACUUCCAAACGAGUCUUUAGCUGUCACGUGUAGUUUCAUUCUAUUGUCUACAUAAACUGACUAUUCAUAUGCAAGAACUAGAAAAAAACAGCGGUUUGAAUCAUGAUCAAUGAAUAUGUUUUGUUGGGGAAAAGAUACGGAAAUUCAAAGAUUCACUUACCAAUCAAGUGGAGCAGGAGUAGGUAGGUGCAAUGGGUUUUGGGCUGCAUCAUGCCCGCUGUAAUGCUAAAUGCCAUAGUGACCGCCAUCACCAGACCUGAUACAAUUGUUAUCGACAAACAAUCUGCAUUUGGGCAUAGCUGCUCAGUAUUUGGCUUUGGGUAGGUACAUAAUACAUACUCUAUAAUGCUAAUCGGCACAGCCCCAUGUACUAUGAUAUUGAACCGAGUUACAAGAACGAGUGAGGUGAGCUAAGAAAGGCCAACAGAAACGUGUUGGAGCUAACAAUACCAUAAUUCCCGGGUGCAAAUUGCAAAAGAGUACAUCUAAAAGGAUUCUCAACAUACUAAGUAGAAAAAUUAGUUACAAUCAAGAGUAGAGUAUGGUCGACUCGCAACUAAUCAACACAGGUUCUGAUUUAGAAAAUUCAGUUUAUGAGUUUAUGCAUGAACGAGACCAUCAAGAAAGCUACCUGCAAUUCUUGACCUAAAUAUAUCUGGAGUACACCAUCAGCUACUUGCAACCCUUAACCUACCUUACACUGCGAUUAAUGAACUUUUCCGAUCAUUUGAUUGCUUAAGUUAAGUUGCAUUGAUUAGUGAUUCUCUAACAUUUUUUAGGUCAUUAACUAAUAUAUGAUCAGAAAUUAGCAUCAGAUUAACCAUUCUUUGAUAUGUGACUCGAAGUAGCACCAAACUAAGCUAAGCUUACUCAUUUUUUCAUUUGUUGGUUUGUCAAAUUUAGUAUACGAGUGUCAAAUGUCAAUGCAUGAAUGAGACCAUCACCACAUGUAGUCUAAUAUUCUAGUGGAUAGAGUACUGGAUUUCUACUCUUGACGUGCGUCCAUGUUUGAAACUCAAACCAAGUUCAUGUUCGACAGCCGAGCUUAUAGCUUUGGACGAAGAAAGAAGAGGAAGGGAGAAGAUAGUGAGAGAACCUUAUCCUGGAGGCUGUUGAUUGGGUAUCACUUCCGAGUGUGUUCUAAAUGUUUACUUGGGCCGUUUAUUACUCAGUCCAUUGGGCUUGAGCGAUAAGCCCACAUCCGCGAGGGGUUUUGGUCCGGUAGGCUGUAGCCAUGUUGUUGUCCGGCCGAGACUUACUUGGUGGGACCAAAAAGGGGUGGGUGAGGCAGAUACUAAAAAAGUCUUCGGAUUUGUUUUUUAUUGAACAUAUAAACCAUAUCGACCACACUUAUUAUAAUAACGCAUGGAUAAUACACGGCGUGAUUUGUGUUCCUUGUAUUCAUAAAUCCAAAUUUAGUAUAGAUUUUUAAUAAUUGGAAUACAUUAUCUAUCAAGAUACCCAGAAUCUAGAAACUAUUUUUAAUGGAGUACUUAAGUUUAGCGUGAUUAUUUUUCUAUUUCUUACGAAUAUAAUGAGUCAUACAAUGAAGCUCUAAGAGAGAGUCAUUGAGCAUAGAUUGAGGCAAGAGACACGGGUUUUGGACAAUCAAUUCGGAUUCAUGCCAGGGCACUCAACCAUUGAGGCAAUCUAUCUCUUACGAAGAUUGAUGGAAAGAUAUAGAGAUAGGAAAAAAGAUUUACACAUGGUCUUUAUAGAUUUGGAAAAAGUGUAUGAUAACGUCCUAAGAGACAUUCUUUGGAGGAUUUUAGAGAAGAAAAGAGUACGAGUAGCAUAUAUCCAAGCUAUAAAGGAUAUGUAUGAUGGAACAAAGUCUGUCGUAAUAACUCAUGAAGGACAAACUGAAAGCUUCCCUAUAACUGUAGGGUUACAUCAAGGCUCAUCCCUAAGUCCUUACCUUUUUGCAUUGGUAAUGGAUGAGUUAACGGGACAUAUUCAAGAUGAUAUUCCUUGGUGUAUGCUUUUCGCAUAUGAUAUAGUGUUGAUAGAUGAAACUCAGGAAUGGGUAAAUGCGAAGCUUAACCUUUGAAGAGAAGUGUUGGAAUCUAAAGGUCUUUGCCUAAGCCGAUCAAAGACAGAAUAUAUGGAGUGUAAGUUCAGUGCAAAUGGAGGCCAAAAUGAGUUAGGGGUGAGGAUCGGAGAUCAGAAAGUACCAAAGAGCGAUUGCUUUCGCUACCUAUGAUGUAUCUUGCAAAAGAACGGAGAAUUAGAUGGACACCUCAAUUAUAGAAUACAAGCUAGAUGGAUGAAGUGGAAGAGUGCAUCCGGCGUGUUGUGUGACUGCAGUAUGCCACUGAAGCUCAAGGGAAAAUUUUAUAGGAUGGCAAUAAGGCCGGCGAUGCUGUAUGCCACGAAAUAUUGGACGGUGAAGCAUCAACAUGUACAUAAAAUGGGUGCAGUGUAGAAGAUGAUGCUUCGUUGGAUGUGUGGGCAUGGGAGAAAUGAUAAGAUUAGAAAUGAGGAUAUCCAAGGUAAAGUAGGAGUAGCCGAAAUUAAAGGAAAGAUAAGAGAAAAUCGGUUACGGUGGUUUGGUCAUGUGCAAAGAAUGCCUACUGACGCUCUGGUUAGAAGAUGCGACUACGGGACAGAGGUUCAAGGCCAAGGGGUAGAGGAAGACCUAGGAAAACUUUGGAAGAUACUCUAAAAAAAAAUUUAGAGUACUUGGAUCUAACGGAGGACAUGACACAUAACCGAGCGCAAUGGCGUUCUAAGAUUCAUAUAGCCGACCCCACUUAGUGGGAAAAUACUUUGUUGUUGUUGUUGUCUGUCUAACAAACCGAAUAAUUAGCGAAUUUAGUGCAGAUUGAGUACGACCACGAUCACGUCAUUGACCGAUAGCUUUAACGUUGUUAAUGUGUAAAAUCUUGAGGCUGAGCCACCUUUGGCCUCUGGUUCCUGACGCCGUUCAUACUCUAAACAAGUUUAUUUGUUAUCCAUCGUCUCAGACAAUCAAUUUGGAGUUGUGGACAAGGAAUUUUGGAAGAAGAAGAAGAAGAGCAAGAAGAGCAACAGUAGAGUAGUAAUAGGGAUGAGGAUUUUGGAACUUCCGACAUAUUGAAUAUUAGAAAGACAUCUUGGUUUUAGUAGUUUGGGAAAAAAUUCCUUUCCCAAACUUAGCCUGAGGCUCUGAAAAGUGAGCAAUAUGGCCAAUAAAAAAUGGUGUAUCAUCAACAUAUAUCCGUACAUAUCUGAAUAACAUGUUUACAUCUUAGGAAUGACAAACAACUACAAAGUUUUAUCCUACUAUGUCCUAGAGCCGACAACAACAUUGCAUUAAUCAUGCCUUAUUAAGCAAUUACUAAAUGAAAAGAAGCAUUAGAUUCAAACAAUCUGCAAACUGCAGGGAUGAAAAUCGUUGCAAUCUAAAAUAUAGGAAGAGAGUGGAACAUUGUGGAGACUAAUGGGACUGAAAACAUGUUUUAGCCUGUUAAAGAGGGACAAAGUGAAUGAAAAUUGAUUCUUGAUUGACCAGAAUGGUGCUGGUUUUGUUGGCCAUUCAUGGCAACAAUACGCCGAGUCACUCUGACUCAUUGACUGAAGUAAAAUGUGGGGUGGCAAUUAGGUACAACGUAUUCUCCCUCUUACAGGCCACUCCAAAGCUCUCUGUCAUGUCAAGUUCGUCUGGAUUCAUCCCAUUCGCCAGUUUUCAAUCGAGGCGGUAGAGCAAUUCAGCAAGGGCAAGUUCAACCAUGGUAACACCAAAUGACAUGCCUGGACACAUUCUUCUGCCAGCCCCAAAUGGAGUGAACUCAAAGUCAAAGCCCUUAAAGUCAACAGAAGAACCAUGAAAUCUCUCUGGCUUAAAACACUCAGCAUCUGCCCCCCAUAUCUCUGGGUCUCUUCC
rnacentral:lncRNA from 1 species